UUUUUUUUUUUUUUUUUUUGGUAAGAGGGCUGCCAAUGAAUUCUAGCAGCAAUUAGACACUUUUGCACGCAUGGAACCCAUUCUGGUCUAACUUUCUUCUUCAGCGAAUUGUAAAGUUUAACAUGAAAGAUGAAGAAAGAAAAGUCGGUGACCCAUCCAUCAUAUAAUUAAUACUCGAGUUAAGUUAAAGCAUAAGCAUCAUUCAUUUUCCACGGCAACUUUUAGAGAGAACACGUAAUUAAUUAACGUACGAGUUCAGAUGUUGCUUUGAUUUCACAGCAAUUUUUCCAGUAGUAAUGAUUUACAAUGCAUUUCUUCCAGUGAUUCGCGAGCAGUGAUACUACAAAAAUAAAUAUUUUCUCGAAAUUGUUUCAGCACCUUUAAUUAUGAAUUCUUAGAGAGUAAGAAACCACAGUAUCUGUAUGUCACAUUAUACCCAUGCCAAUAUUCUCUCCUUUUUUCGUUUGACGUGAAAGGCAGGCUACCAAGGCAGCAAUAAUAAAUAUUCCAUCCCACCGGAAGGUAAUAAUGCAGGACCAAACUUGUUCCUCAAAGCGCCACGAUCCCUAGCAGCCUGCACAAAACUCUUUUUGAUUUGAUGUUUUAGAUUCCCCCUUCGGUCCCAAUCAAAUCAAAUGAACCUCUUUUUGUUACGCUUCCUCUUUACAAAUUACGACGGCCCAAAAAUCAAACUUACUUUAACGUGGAAAGCAGGUGCGGGCAUGACUUUGGAUAAAUGGUUGCCAGAAAAGGCCAAAAAACGAGAACCAACCCGUUCAAUACGGCAGUCCGAAGCCGAUUAUGCCUGGAGAACCAUUACUGUUAAACAACGCUAUGCUAUGGUAUGCUAGUGGCAAGUUUUAAGGGAAAACUGCUUAACAAACCAUCAUAGCUGCUGCGCGCGUGGGAAAUUUAACGUCUUUAAUUCUUGGCAGGCGGCUAUAAUAUAAGGAGGGUAAUCACGAGAUGGCAAACGUAGUGGUACCAGACAAUCCGACUUCAAGAGGAUAAACAAAAAUGGCAGGGACGAGAGGAAGAAACCUCGAGCUAUGGAGUAAGCAUAAAGAGUCUUUUGAUUCAGCAGACCCAUGAAUUUUUCCUCGCUAUCGGUUCAUGGAACUGCGCUAUGACAUUGACGCUUCCCGUUUUGGUAAAUUUACUUGAACGCUACAGCUGAUUGUACUAAUCCAAGAUUUAUGAAGCUCAUCCACUAGCUUUGAGGCACAGGAUGUCAGUAACCAGUCGAAAAGAAUACAAAUGACCAUGGAACUCAAGAAUUCCAAAUGUUGGGAGAUCCAAAUAUUUAUCUUCUUCUUUCAUCCCGGUAAGGUCCUUCACUUUCUUGAUCCUUCAAGAAGCCUAAGAAUGCAAGAAAGCCGAAAAAGAAGAAUCCUCCAGACCAAUUGCCUCCACCUCCACCGCCACCACCUCCACCAUCACCAUCAUCACCGGGAGGAAAUCCAGUCCCACCAUCAUCUAGUUCUGGAGAUUUUUCCUUCCCUGGCAUUCAGUACAACAUCCACUAUCUCAGAAAUCCUUGAUAGCAAUCAAAUUAUCAGAGGCAAACUAUAUUUGCCAUGCUUAUGAAAUCAAAUAAAAAAAAAAAUUAUUGCUCUAUAGGUUCUAUAUUUGCAUGUUUAGUUUCUCAGAAAUUUCACGCCAAGGAGAAAUUCUGGCUCUUGGUAGCCCAAUAUAUAAAGGCAUGUCAAUACAAGCAGCUGAUUAUGUUACAAACACCGAUAUCAUGGACAGCCAUAAAAAGGUUACCUUGAACAGGAGCGACAGUAAUUGUCGAUGAUUGCCGUGUAACUGUUUGGGUCUGCCCCUCCGCGCAUGUUGCAUUCUUAGAAAAAGAAAUAAAAACCAAAUUAUCAACUCAUAUAUUGCUAAUCAUUUUGCUUACUGAAGAAAUACAAACUGAAGGUAGACCCAGAAAAUAUACUGACACAUCCUCAGACUUAUGCAUGAUAACUUUUACUGAUUAUUGUCGCCUAUCAACACCACUAAUCUACCAACAGCCAACUCUCGGAAGUCAUGCACUAGCCUGUAAGCCUAAUUAACCCUCUACCUGAACGCAAUGCCAGAGUUCCCUGGUCUAAAUAGUGUGAGCUUUUUUUUUUUUUUUAGUUGGGAGAGCGGGGAGUGGAGAGAGAGACGAGCUAACAUUGAACCUUUUUCUUUUCCUUUUAUUUAUUUUUUGGCUCAUUGUACAGAAGGAUUCACGAUGAGUAAAUCAUCAGUUAGAUGAGACUCAGACACAUUCUCAUUUCAAAAACAUCACAGAGAAAGCAAAGAUUCUUUAAAAAAAAAAAAAAAAAAAAAAAAAGAGGAGGAAGUAAAGACUGUUGAUGUUGAAUAUAUGACUGUUAAACAACACCGGCAUAGAUUAUCUCCAGAUAACUUAUAGGCAAAGUAAGAUUACCAGGGCAGCAGAACAUAUUAUGGAAGUUUGCUUUGUUCGAAUAGCAUGAUUGAUGGGUGUUCUCUUGUCAAGAGGCCGAAACCGUAAAGACAUUGGUUUCAGUCCAACAGGACCACAUCUAAUAUGCUUGAUUUGCACCGGCCAUCUAUCCUCUGCUUUUACUGCACCAAAAAGGCCUCUAAUAUGAGAAAAGAUGAAAUGAAGAACAAAAACAUAUAUGGACCAAAUGCAGAUUUAAUAAAUCUAUAAAACACAUGAAUAAGAACUCACAAAGACUCGGCACAAGGACAGUGUUAAUCACCAUAGAAGGGUAUCAUAAAAAUGUCACCAGAAACACACUAGGGAGAUUCCCUGAGAUCUCAUGUCAUAUGCUCAUAAGUCUCCUGUGCAAUUACCACAAUAUACAAGUGUGCAGAACUAUGACCUAGCUCAUUUACAAGAUUAAACAACAAUCUACUGCAGUAUCAGAGCCUACAACCAAACACUGUCAAGGACACGAAUCACAUCCUCAUCUACGUCUGCUCGCACACAUAGUAAUACAAUCAACUACAUUAAGCUAACCCAUCAAAAUUACAGAAGUGCAUGUAUUUGGCCUAGAAAUUCACACAGUAUGCUUGGGGCACAAUUUUAACUUGAAGUUCAGUAAACAAUCUAUGCUGUAAAGCUACACAUGAAUGCAUUAAUUUGGACAUAUGACGGAUGAAACAAAGAAGCAAGUUUGUCAAAUAAUAGUAAUUGACCAACUUCUCGUGCAGGUUCUAUAUGCCUGACUACAAAAUGUUUGCAGUUUCCACCACUUCUCAGAGUUCUAAACUUAGAGGAAUCCACCAAGGCUCAACUAACUGUGCAUAGUAAGAGAGCCCUUUUGUGCUCAUAAUGUUGUUUUUAAAUUAACAAAUGACCAUUCUUCCAUGUUUGAGGGUUUCAACCCUAAAACUUGAUAGUCAAGAUUCAACCCUACUGAUUUACAACAUUUUUUUGAAUAAGCAUAGAUCCAAAAUCCUUUAUGCUUCUGUAUGAUCCUUAUCCUUGUGAAAGAUAUUGUUUCCACUAAGAUGUGCUCCCAGGAAGCAAAAUUAAGACAACAGAAAGGUCCAAAGGCACCAGAUGUUUGCAGGCAGAGUACAAGUGAUAUACACAAAGUUUCACGGUCUAUGGAUUUAUGUAUUUAUGCUAUUUUUGACUUUCCAUCUAACAUUCAUACCACUACAAAGUACCCAGUACAAAAUUCGUGUCCUUAUGCUUAGAAACUCAGAAGAAUCCCAGUUUCCUUCUCUCAAUUAUUAUGGCAUCAACAUACAGCAUUCAAAUCUCAAAUGUUGAUUGCUGGCUAAUAAAGUUGCUGAUUUCCUCUCUUAAGGUUAUGCAGUGACUGAAUAAGUAGCCAAAGAUGUAAGACAAAACGUAAAUUAAAUAACUACGGAAAAGAGUAUCAACGUCAUUUUAAGAAAGAGUGUCCCUCAUAAAAAAUGUUUAACUAAACAAGGAUAUCCCCAUGUACACACACGUCUUCACUCAAAAUCCAAGAGCUGCACUCUAUGAACCUAAGCACAUAGCCCUAUGAAUUCCAGACUGUAUAAGUGCAACACAACAAAAGCACUGAUAAAUCACAGGCAGCUCAGAAACAAAAGAAUUGUCAACCAUCUGUUUCACAUGAUAAAGACAAGAUAUCAAUGUCAUUAAAUAGAACUUAUACACACCUGUGGCUAAAGUAGAUGUGCCGGCACUUGUGCAUGCCAUCAAAGACAUUCUGUCAAUAGAUGAUAUGACCUGAAAGUAUAGCCACAAGCAACUAUGCUAUCAACAAUAGAAAAAUUUUUCGAAAAAAGUAAAUAGAUGCCCAGUUUAAUACAUAUUCAUCCUAUUUUCCAGGCAUUCCUAUGACAACUCCAUCCUGGAUGAACGAAACUUAAUUUUAAUCUCCCAAAGUUCAAUCAAGAAGAACAUCUAAGAGGCCACCCAUAUAGGUACUUAGUUUGUGUAACUAAAUUUCAAUAGAUUGUCAACAUGAUACACUUCCUAUCUUGCAAAAAUAUCACAUUUUUCACAAUAAAUGAAACUCAAUCCAGGGAAAGGUCUUGGUUUAACCUAGCAGAAUGAAAACAUCAAUUAUUAAACUUGUUCGUGAAAUUAAAAAAAAAAAUCUUGAAUAGAAAAAUAAUAAGAAAAAGAGCACAAUUUUUUCCACAUCCCAAAUUAAAAGGGCGUGAUUUUCGUGUUGAAUGAUUAGCUGCUACAAAGUAGCAAAAAAGAAAUCUAAUCCAGCAGAAGGAAAAAGUAAAAAAGAACCAUUAAUCAUUCAGCUUUCCCAGCUCGAAUUCUAACAUAUCCAAUCUUAUCCGAGCUAUAAUCGAGCUAUUAAGGUUAUCAACAAAGUCGACCCUCUGAAUCGAAAAAAAAAAAAACGGAAUACUAAACGAAACCAAUCCCAGUCCUCCAAUAUUCCCACUAGUUUAAAUCUAUAGGACCAACAAUCAAUAUAUAACAGAGAGAGGAAAGGGAGGGAAUUUAAGAGAGACCUUACCCUGUUGUUGUUGUUGUUGUUGUAGAAGGCAGCAGCUGAGACUAAACGUGAGAGCGGAUUGAACGAGACUUUUGGGGCAAUCAAUCGAACAGAUCAAAGAAAAGAAAAGAGGGGAAAGGGUUUGCGAAGCUGCAGAUGAACUAUCCACUUAUCUUCUAAGAUUAUUGCUUUGAACCGCCAUAUUUUUCCAUUCUAUGGGCACGUUACGAUUGGAUGGCGCUUCCAAAUAAAAAAGAGACUAUUGCUUCUUCUUUUUUCUUAAGCCCAAAAAACAAUUAAUUGGACGGAAGGUUCUGGCCCCUCGAGUACAAACAUUUCAAGUUUUGUUCCGCCUAUGAAUUUAAGAAAUUAGUAGUGUUACAAUAAGGAGAUUUUCACUAAUCGAAAACGGAAUGACCUUUCCUUUCUCCUUUUCUUUUCCUUUUUUUUCCCUGUUUGAGAAAACUUUGUUGGAUUGUACUUGCUAAUAAAAAGAAACAAAAGUUUAAUUGAAGAAUCAAUUAAAAAAAAGGGAAAAUUGUUCAAAACGUCUCUCAUAUUUUACAAGAUGACUUUUUUUGUCCCUCACUUUUAAAAGUAUAAUUUUACGUCCCUUACAAAUUUACAUUGACCAAAUUUGAUUCCUACCUAGGUUUCCGACUAGUUUUUGGCCGGAAUCUACCAUGUGACUUGCCUGUGAUCAUUUUUUAUGGGCAAAAUUAUCAAAUCAAAUUUUUACAUAAUUUGAUUCAUAGUCCCUCACAUUUUACAAAAUAAAUUUUUUCGUCCCUAAUAUUUUAUAAAAUAAAUUGUUUUGUUUCUGACAUUUCAAAAAACCCACGUAUAUGUAUAUUUGAUUCUACUUGAACAGUAUGAACAACAUGUAAUUUAUCUCUAUUGGAUUUCAGCUAAACACGUUAAUCGUAGUUAUACACAUGCUAUUCAAUAGAUAUAUAUAGGGGUUUAAAACUAAUAAUUUUGCUUGAAACCCAUGUAUAUAUUUAUAUGAUUUCACCAUUUGAACCUAUUCAAUAUUUGUAACUUUUCUCUUUUGGUAAUAAUUUAUUUAUUUAGUUGCAUAAUAAGAUCAUCUAAUUAAUGGGUUCUAACUCAAAUUCUAUAAUUGUGCUAACAAAUUUCAGUUUAAAUUUGAAAUUUCUACUCGACACUUUUAAGACCAACAUUUAAAUAAUUUGCCUUAUGAUUAUUUUAAAUUUUGAAAGUGCAAAUCAUUUAUUUCUUUUUGUCAUACUUUUCUUUUGUUUACUUUUUCAAUCCAAAUUUAAUUUGAUAUAAACACUCGAUAAUAUUUAUGAUUAAAUGUCUUCUUUAUUUUCAAAUUUCGAGUAAAAGAAAAUGAAUAUAACUGAAAGACUAACAAUUUUUUUAAACCUAUGUAUAUAUCUAUUUGAUUUCAUUUGAGUAGUAUGAAUAGUAUGUAAUAUAUCUCUAUUUGAUUUCACAUGUUAUUCGUACUGUUCAGAUGAAAUCAAAUAGAUAUAUACAUGGAUUUAAAAAAAAAAUUAUUCACACACAUGAUUAAUAAAAGAUGAAAAAAUUCAUUUUGUGGAAUGUAAGGGACAAAAAAUUUUAUUUUAUGAAAUGUGAGAGAUUAUGAAUCGAAUUAUAUAAAAUUUGAUUUGAUAAUUUUACCCUUAAAAUAUGAUCACGUGCAAGGCACAUGGUGAAUUCCGACAAAAAACUAGUCGGAAACCUAGGUAGAGACCAAAAUUGACCAAUGUGAAUUUGUAAAUGACGUAAAAUUACAUUUUUAAAAGUGAAUGACGAAAAAAGUUAUUUUACAAAAUGUGAGGGACGUUUUGAACUAUUUUUCCUAAAAAAAAUGCUGAAAGUGAAAAAUCAAAAAGAUGUUUGUUCUUUCACAUUUUCUUUUUGGAAUGGAGUUUAACAUUGUGGAAGUGAUGUUAUAUAUAUAUAUAUAUAUAUACUAGUGGUAAAAGGCAUACUCAAUGUGUGUGCAAGUUAGAAAUAAAUUGUUUCUUAUAUGAACUUAUUUUACAUAGAUUUUUUUAUAUUACUGGACAUGUUUUGUUCUUUUAUGCCUUUUUUUUUUCCUUAAGAGUAUAAUUAUGUUGUGUGUUUAUGGGUAGUUGUAUUGGAGAUAGGUAGUUAUGACGAAAAUAAGUUGUGUUCAGGGUAAAAUUUAGGUCCUAUGAAGGUAGAAGUGAAACAUGAAAAAGUUACAAAAAAAUGUUUACACAAAAAUUCAAGAUUUCCACUUUGUGUAUAUGUACUAGUUCUCAAUGCAUACUCAAUGCGUGUGCAAUCAAAAAAUACAUAAUAUUUUAAAUAAAAUUUUUAUUACUUAACCAAACUUUAAUCUUUUAAAUAUUUUUCAUAAAAUAAUUUUAUAUUAAUAGUUAUAAUAUUUGGGAUUAAAUGUUGAAAACAUAUACUUAAAUAGUUAAAAGAAAAAAUAGAUGGGUAGUCAAAGUAAAAAUAGUUUUUAUAAGGGUAAAUUCAUAAAAUGACAAUAAAUAUUAAGUUGAAUGUUAACCCCAAACUCUUUCCUCAACCUUUAUAUAUAGAAGUAUAGAUAUAGAUAUGUAUAUGUAUAUAUGAACAAAGUUAACAUGGGCCAAGGAGUGUAGAUUUCCUUUCUCUUCCAAAGCUGGGCCCAGUUUAACAUUUCUUCUGGACAGGACUCAGGGCCACAGCCUUUGGUUGGGCUUCUCAGCUGCAGGCGUGGUGAUGUCCUCGCAAUGUGCUGUUGGUUGAUACACAAAUUGAUUCUAACUUAGGUGCAUUUGAUAUAAAAUUAAAAUUUGAAAACUAAAAUCUGAAAUUUAAAUUCAUCAUUGAAUUGUUAAGUCUUAACUAAUAUAAUAUGAUAUAUUUAAGUGCAUAGCACGUUGAGUUAUUCCAUCACUUACUUAAUUAAAUUAGAUAUUCAAGUUUUUAUUAUCAAACGCGCAUGAAUAUGUUAAAAUCUGAAUCCAUUAAAUUUAAUUGUUAAAUUGAAUAAUCAAACAGGGCCUUAUAAAAUUGCUCCUUUUUUGAAGAGAACAAAAAAAAAAUCUAAGAUUUGUAUCUCUGGAUUUGUACGCAAGACUUCGGCCUGCAAUAGAGCAGAAACAAAAAUUCUAAAUUCUCUUGGCAGAUCGGAAGAUGAGAAAGGAAGAAUCAAAUCGAAUAGCUAGUUGAGUACGGUUUUAGCGCAAUUUAUUCUGCAUGGUUUCAUGCGAGCAAAGCAAGUUUGAAAGAUUGAAACAAAGAAUUUCUUACUCUUUGUAUGAGCUAGUUGAUUGCCAAAUCAUUGUACAAAGAAACUUUUUGUCAAGAUAUUGCAUUUAUUCUAUUAGUAAGUGAGUGGAAUUGUCACGCGCAUUUUUUGUUACGUCUAUGGAGUUCCUCUUGGAUACGGGAAUGAAGAAGAAUUAGUAGUAAUUUUCUUGUAAAUGAUGGCCGGGCAAAUUAUAAAAAGAAGGAAACAAAAAUGUCCCGUGAUCAUUCAAAGUAAGAUCUGAUAUUGCGAUGCGAACCUGGCCUAACUUUCGUGUCCUGUGGUUAAUUAUGAAUCAUACUAAUUAAAUUCGAUUUCUAGCUCUUAAGAUGGCUGGAUGAAACUGAACAAUCUUUGAUGGUUUUCAAUUAUGGCUCAGAGUAAAUGGAAAGCAGCUUUUUGGGAAUAAAACAAAAUUUACUGUAAUUUUAGAUUCACAUGAUAUUACCACAGAGAAUUCAUAUUUCGAAGAAUGUGAUAAUAUAUACUAAACGAAUUUUUUCAAUUUACACGCUAAUAAUUAUUAGCUUUUCUUAUAUUUAUAUAGUUCUUUCUUUAAUUAAUUUUACUUUUUUUUUCAAAAGCUUUUGUUGUGUUUGGAUUGCAUUUUUCGUCAUUUUUCAUGAAAAAAUUACUGUAGCGAUUUGAUAUAUGUGAGAAAAAAAGAUGAUAGGGAAAUAUGAUCACGGAAAACGACAAUAUUUUUCGACGGAAACAGGCAAUCCAAGCGUGGCCUUUGACAUUCAAAUUUUCUUGUGUUAUUUUAAAGAGUGCGUGUUGCUUUGACUUUUUCCGAUGGCAAUCGUUAGUUAAUCAUCACUAUCGAGACAAUUUUGUUAAUUACUAAUUAACAAAAUCAUCAUCGUCUCACAUUGACCAAAAGGUCGAAGAAAUGGACGGAAGGAAAGGAAUAUUCUUUUCAGAAGAUCUUUUAUUUUAGUUAAAAGAGUUGCGACACCACAACGUAACGCAUCUAACCUAAGACCUUAGGCUUUCCGACAUGUCAAACUGGGAGCAUGAACAUAAGUCCAGCCAGCUGCUAGCUAUAUAUAUACCACUACAAGAAAUCAAAGAUUAGCUGGUUUUAUUUGCUUUACACUUGACUCAUAUUUUCUUCCUUUUUUACAGAUUUCUUUCUCAUUAAUCAUAUUUUUUUUUCCAUUAAUGUACUACAGUACGAUAUUAUUGACUGAUGGAUCAUUUCUUCUUUUGUCUUUCCAUGAUUGUCAACAUCUUUUGUGUCAGGACUCAGCAGCAGUAAUAUACCAUCCUUGAAACGUGGAAUUAGAUGACGUUUGAUUAAACUCAAACGUGGGACACGUAACAUGAUCUAGUGGUCCUCCAAACUUGGCCUCAACAACUCAUAAGUAACCCCGCAGCCCACAGCUCAGACUUGCAAACAAAUCAGAUCCCUCCCUCACUUUCAACAAGUUACUCAGUUCCCACUGUGGACUGGGACUCUGCAAGAAGCAGUACCCCACCAAUAUUCAGACUCCUCUCUCCCACCGCAAUCUUCUCUUCUCGCCUUCCCCCACCAUAAACAAACACAGAGGAUCAACAACACGCCUUCUCUCGCAUUUCAUUUUUUCGUCGUACCAUAAUAUCUUUGGGCAUUCACUGUAUUGUCAGCUUUUCCCACCUCGACCUUUUGUUUCUGUUGGAAAACAGAAGAAUCUGAAUUCUUGUCGGGUUGCUCUUGAUUUUUCGGUUACUGAAGUUUUCCUCAUUUUCGCCACCGGGGUAGUGGUUGGUCUGUUAUUUUAGUGAUACACGUGAUUUGGGUCUCGAGUAAAAAUUUGAUCUUUGGAAGAUUUCUCGUUUUAUGGCAAUAUACAUGUGAGGUUGUUGGGAUCUUUUUGGGAAAAAAAGUUUUGCUUUUUGUAUCAAAUAGGUAUCUCAUAAAAGCUAGUGCUAUACCGUCUGCGUAUUCUUAAGAGUUCCUCGUACCAUAUUAUAUUUGUUGAGUCACAAUUUAAUAUUAUAUAGAACAAGAAUCUUUAGUUGAUAAUCAGGGGGGGUUUAGUAUCUGGUUUGGGUUCUAGGAGCGGGAUCGUUGCAAUGGAUUCCUGCUGUGCCACCAUGAAAGCAAAUGCCCAUCCUUCGCAAAUUAGAAGGGCUUUUGGCUAUGGAGACAGUGGAUUUCUGGGAAAGAAGAUCAAGGGAAGUCUGAAAAGCAAGGCUUCAGGGACCAACUUUUGCAGGAGUUUGAAAAGUACUAGUGUAAACGGGGCUAAAAAGAUCAAGCCUGGGGUGGCUUUCUCCAUCUUUACACAAGAUAUAGACCAAGAGAUUAUGGUUAGUGAACACCUCUUUGUGAAAUUUGUGCUUUUGGCCUAUAUGUGUGUCUGAGCGCGCUCCCGCGCGUAUCUUUCUCCUUAUUGCUGGCACAAUGAUGAAUAUUUAGAGUUGUUUUCUUUUAUUUUUCAUGUUGGAUUCAGCAAUUUGAAGCACCAGUAUUUGAUGAGAGUUCAACAGUAGAUCCUAAAACUGUAGCUGCAAUCGUUUUGGGUGGAGGUGCCGGAACUCGCCUGUUUCCCCUUACCAGCAAAAGGGCUAAACCGGCUGUAAGAACGGAUCCCACUAUCUUGGUUCCUACUGUUAAUAUCUAUGGCUGUCACUGUUGGUUUAUAUUAUUGUUUUUUUUUUUUUGGCUGCAAAAGUUGGACAGAAUUAUAGAAUUUUGUGGACUAUAGAAGGGUUAUCCAGUAAAGUGCAUUAAGAAUUUGUGAAGUUACAGUACUAUUAUCAUGAUCCAAAUUAUGCAAUAUGGAGACACAGAACCAAGAAAUUUUAUUAUAGUGAAACAUUUGCUUCUGAUGUGGAAUUGUAUUUCAGGUGCCAAUUGGAGGUUGUUAUAGGCUAAUUGAUGUGCCCAUGAGCAACUGCAUCAACAGUGGAAUACGGAAAAUUUUUAUCUUGACCCAGUUUAACUCAUUUUCCCUUAAUCGGCACCUUGCUAGAAUGUACAAUUUCGGAAAUGGUGUGAAUUUUGGUGAUGGGUUUGUGGAGGUAAGAUCAAUCGGGACCUUUUGGAAAGCACAUUUUUCAUCUUUAAGUAGAACUAGGAUGGAUAGGGGUUUAUAGUUGACCAUUGUUUACUCUUUCGACAAAUAUACACUAGGGGCACCAUUUUUUUUGUCCAUGUGUUAAGGAAUAUAUUUUAAGCACCCUGCAGUCGAAUCUUUUUGAAAUACAAAUAAACAAUUGCCUAACAUGAUGGCAAAGGCAACUUGUUGCUGUUCUAAGAGAAACUUUAACUGGAAAACAGGUUCUUGCUGCCACUCAGACAUCAGGCGAAGCUGGAAAGAAGUGGUUUCAAGGAACUGCAGAUGCUGUUCGGCAAUUUACAUGGGUAUUUGAGGUGCGUGUUUAGAAUUGUGCCUGUUACUGGGAAAAUUCCAAGUGAAAGCAAUAAAGCUUGGCCUUGACUUGUUUUUGUAGGACGCCAAGAACAAAAAUGUUGAACACAUAGUAAUAUUGUCCGGAGACCAUCUAUACAGAAUGAAUUACAUGGACUUUGUUCAGGUUUAUUUUCAUCUUUGGCUGUAUUCUUUCUCUAGCACUUUCUAUUUCUCAAAAUUUAGACAUUAAACAAAGUUAUACUCGCAGAAGCAUGUUGACACUAAUGCAGAUAUUACUGUUUCAUGUGUACCCAUGGAUGAUAGGUUCGUAAUCCAUCUAUCUUCCAAACUUCGUAUUUAAACCAUAUCAUCACCUCUCUCUGCCUCUUUCAUUUGAUAGAAUAGACUACAGACGAACCCUUAAAGUGGGUAAUGGAUCAGGAACUUAUGUUUUAAUUCUUUUCAUGGCAGUCGAGCCUCAGAUUACGGGUUAAUGAAGAUUGAUGGGACAGGGCGUAUUAUCCAAUUUGCUGAGAAACCAAAAGGCGCUGAUUUGAAAGCAAUGGUAUUUGAACUUGAAUCCCUUAUAGAUACUUUUUGACAUAUCCGGCUUAAGUUGAUAUGCAUAUCACUUUGGUAUUUUGACUGUUGUUGCUUGGUGAUUUUAAGUUGCCCAUCCUGAGCUACUCUUCUUUUCGGCUUGGAUACAGCAAGUUGACACCUCUCUUCUUGGACUUUCUGCAAAAGAGGCUAUGAAGUAUCCAUACAUUGCAUCAAUGGGUGUUUAUGUAUUCAGAACAGAUGUUCUGCUGAGCCUUCUGAGGUGGAAAUAUCCUUCCUGUAAUGACUUUGGCUCUGAGAUCAUUCCCUCAGCUGUGAAGGAUCAUAAUGUUCAGGUGAGAAUAACAGUUUACUGAUUUCAUAGACACAAUCUUUGUUGCCCAUGGCCUUAGGAAUUUGGUCAAGUGUUGGUCAGGAAACUUUUUACUAACUUGGUUUGGUGAUGAAAUUUUAUCAUCAGGCGUAUCUUUUUAGUGAUUACUGGGAGGACAUUGGGACUAUAAGGUCGUUCUUUGACUCCAAUUUGGCACUUACAGAGCAGGUCAUUUUCCAUUUUCUGAGAAUAUUCUUUAGUCUUACUGCAUUUUUGUUCAUCUAAUUUACUGUAGAACUUCAUCAUUGGGUUAAGUUGGAAGUUUCAUAAAAAACUUGCAGCUUUGGUUGUCAGAAAUCCAAAAUUCUUAUAAUUCAUGCCAAUACACAAUUGGGAAGAAGAAUUUUGUUUAAGAGAAAAAGUUUGCAGAUGGAAACAUGAAGCCUCCAGCACAGUAUGGUGGCUGCUUGCACUUUAUGAACCACUUCAACUAUAAUACAGAGCUUGGUUUAUUACUCUUGUCAUUUGCAGUUUGCCUGAUAUGGUGGCUCCUAGCAUAUUAUGAACCUAUUUGGCUAUUGCAUAAAUCUUUAGUACUCUGUCAAUGGCAGUUUGUAUCUUGGAAUUAAAGUACGAUUUUGAUCUUAAGAUUGGUUUUCAAUGGUAAAUAUCUAUCAGCUAUUCGCUUCUGAAGGACCUAAAAAGUCCCCACGCUAAUUAUAAUUUGUUUCUUUUGCAGCCUCCGAAAUUUGACUUUAACGACCCAAAGACUCCUUUCUAUACAUCUCCUAGAUUCUUGCCACCAACUAAAGUUGAAAAAUGCAGGGUAUGCUAUUAUGCUUGUCUAUCUUCUUAGAGCUUGUUUCUUGCACAUCUCACGAGUUUACUGGCCUUCUCAGAUUGUGGAUGCAAUCAUUUCACACGGUUGCUUUCUUCGGGAGUGCAGUGUCGAGCACUCUAUAGUUGGCGUGAGAUCACGCUUAGACUAUGGCGUUGAAUUGAUGGUGGGUAGAAGUAUCUUUAAUUGUAAGAAUUGCUUUUGGCCAACUUAAAGUUAAGGUUCUGUGUUUUCAAGAUUUACCAAUGUCAUGCUGAGUUUCUUAUACUAUCAUCAGUACCAGUUUUUUUUUUUUUUUAACCUUCAGGCAUCGUCAGUACCGGUUUACUCGCCGCUAAAAUGCUAUGUCAUGGUGUUUUAUUGUUUGUUACUUGAGUCUAAUCAGUGCAGUGAACGAGUUCAAUAGAUUAUUAAAUAUUAUCGGCAAAAUCUUAUGUUUUCUUUGAGUGCCAUGUGUACUUAUGCCAGAAGAUUUUUUCGAAUUUCAGGAUACUAUGAUGAUGGGUGCGGACUACUAUCAAACUGAAUCUGAAAUUGCAUCUUUAUUAGCAGAGGGGAAGGUGCCCAUUGGUGUUGGACAGAACACCAAAAUUAGGUGAGAUAUUAUCAUAACUUGCAGACCGUCACUAACCUGCAACUUGUUUUAGUAAAUAAAUCCAUAGACUGAACUCUGUUGCAGAUCUCAUGGCUUAAAAUCCCAUUCAUUCAUUCAUCGUCAGUAUAGUAAUCUUUCCUCUAGGAGACUUGGAUGUGCCUUUUAUCUAUUUGCUGACAAAUUUCUUUCAUCCUUGUCACUUUGUGUAUCAAGAAAUUGUAUAAUAGACAAGAAUACCAAGAUAGGAAGAGACGUGGUCAUUACAAAUGCGGAUGUAAGCCUUUCUUGCUUUCUAUUUUCUGUGCUUUGCUGGGAAUCCUUAUACAGGAGCAUCAUGCUGCAGAGGAUUUAUAAGUUUAUCGGAUGUUACAGGGUGUUGAAGAAGCCGACAGACCAGAAGAAGGAUUUUACAUUAGAUCUGGAAUCAUUGUCAUUCUGAAGAAUGCAACAAUUAAAGAUGGAACCGUCAUAUAAUGGUGUCAAGAUUAUCAGUUUCUGCAACGAUGAGGCCCCUGUAUAUGUAACUAUGCUACGUUUUUGUUGAGACUCGUUUAAGGUCUAAGUUUUGGAAUAAAAUUUAAUGAUGGCGAGGACUAUGCGAAGUGAUGCUUCUAAUCUGAUUCUUAGUUUCUCAAGAAUCAUAAUGCCCUGUGAAUAUAACUUUCACGGACGAAAUGGUUCAUCAUUUGGUCUCUCUGUUUCAUGAAAACUUUUCCAAUCAAGUAACGAACAACAGAAAAUCAGUGCAGAAGCUUUUUUUUUGUACCCCGAAAAAUCAUGCCAGUUUACAAAACAUUUUACGUCCAACCAAACGGACGAGAGAAAUCUUGAAGCGUUUUACAUCCUACCCCGAAACAAACCGUGAGAAUUCCUUCCAAGUAAAAUUUACUUGGAGACUGAUUUAUCCCAUUUUCUCAAGGUCCAAGAUUGUCACCAUCAUAGUUUCUAGCUUCCUUUUUUGGUAAUACAUUACUGUUUCUAGAAUACAUUCUUCGGAUUUUAUUCAGCCUUCGUGAUUGCUGGACGAUGAUGCUUGCUGUUGAAGAGCUUUCACUGAAGAUGACCUCGUAGCCAUCGCGAAGAGGGUCCAUUCCUUAAGUUAAAAAUUGCCAGAAUAAGCCACCUGCAGCCGCCCCUCCGCCACUGGCCGAGGAGUAAAUGGUUGAAUAGACAGUAUUGAACAACAGGUCUCUCUGAUUCAUGUUGAAGCCGGGAUCUUUUGAUGAUUUCCCGAAUUCUGUAAAUAGAAGGGGUUUUUGAAGAAUCUUCUCUGCAUCCUGAAUGUGGCUUUGGAGCCAGUUGAUCAAGAAUGAAAGUUGAGCUUCUUCACUUUGGCCAGCUAACCUAUCCAUCCAUCCACGAAUAUCCAAGAAUUGUAAUAGUACCAUGUUUUAAAAGAGUCAGAUCAGUUAUGAAGACAACAAAGAUCGGUAGUGCUAUAGUUACCAUGCAUCCGGAUACGAGUGAACCGUGGCAAAAUCAAUAUCCUUAAUUUGAUUACUUGCUAUGAAAUCUGUUCCUGCUUGAAAAUUUGGAUUUAAGUGCUGCUUUUGAGCAUUCGAUGGUCCAUAGAACCCUUCAAGCCCAGCUCCUAACAAGUGAUUUCUGUCUAUGGACUUCAGGUAGGAACCCAUUUCUGAGAUCCAAGCCUGCGAACGAGUGCAAAUCAAGUGAGUAAUGAAUCAACACAAAUCCCUUAGCGCUUGCCAAUUCUAUCGACCUCCUUUUGCAUAAAACAAAUUCUAGUAAGCGAUUGAAACUUGGAAGUACAAUUAUAGUACGAAGAAGUUAGCGCCCAAGUUUUUCUUUUCUUUUGUCUUUUAUUUCUCCCUUCCAAAUUUUGUGUACUUCCGAGGUGCAGCCCGUGACUCUUUAUGGGGCCAAGUUUAGUGCCCGUGCCUUCUUUUAGUAGGACGCCUGGUCACAACUAGACCAAGACAUCUUCUGAGGCCGAGGCCUAGCCAACAACUAGAGAAAUUUACUGCUGUAACAGAAUAUUCAUAAAUCCUAAUGUAAAUAAAAUCCCAAAGACAAAGUAUUAGAUCCAUAGUAAAUUGUGACCAGCAAUUUGGUCUAUUGUUCACUACCAAGACUUUAGGUCUUAGUUAUGGAUGGAAGGUCAAGAGUUUAAAUUUUACUUUCCACAGAUCACUAUUUGUGAUUUACCACUUCUGUGGCUUCCUCCGAUGGGAACGUUUCCCACGUUUCCCAUUGGUUAGCUUCUCCCUCCCCCUCGAAUAGAUUGAGUAGGUUAUACAAGGAUGGUUAUAUAUCCUCAAUUAUCUCAUACUUUGAUUAACAUUGCUAGUAAUUUCUUUGGGACGUAGGACAUGAUGAUGAUGAUCUCCAUUUAUGGGGAAAAAAAAUUCAAAAUACAAACUGCUGCCCACACAAGGCUAUCAAUGUAGUCAAAGAGGUAUUGAUCUAGUGAUCAAAAUUGAAAUCUCAGAACUGGAUUCAUGUCUCUCUGCCCCCUCCCUGCUUCUUAAGUCUCACCUCUCUGCAAAUGAAAAAAUAAUAAUAAAAAAAGCCUAUCAAUGUAGAAUUAGCCACUCUCCCUAUUCUUUUGCCAUGCAAUGUACCCAUGUCCAUGCUAAUGGGCCAAUUUGGUGAAAUAAGGCAAUUAUGUGUCUUCUGUUUUCCUGAUAGAUCAAUAAAGGUGUAUACUUUGAAGAUGUUCAAUUAUAUGUAUGAAAAGAAAUAAGAAAUUAAGGAGGUAUAGUUGAACAUUCUAACCUGUAUAGUUUUGCCUGAUGCAUCUGUGGUGCACCUUGGUUCGUUCAUAAGCUCCCAAGCCAUUAUUAUGGGAUCAUCCUUGUAAAAUACUCCUGUGAUGCUAUUUUGUCUGGUUAGAACAGCCUGGCCAAAACAGGAACUCAUGGCUGAUAAGUAUGUUCUCGUUACCACAAUCAUGAAAAUAGUAAUGCGGAUAGAAAUGCUAAAAUAAAAAAAUUUUGUUCUUUUCUACUUUGUCCGUCAUAUCUAUUAUACUGACUAAUUACAAAACACAAGAAUUCUUAGAAAAAAAAAAAAUCUUUUCCAACGAAUGUGAAUGGAUGAAAACGAUGACAAUAAAAUGUUUGGCUAUACCAACCUUGAUGUGAUCUUUAUAGUAGCCUUUGACAACAGCAUUUGUGAAGAAAUCAUCAUCAGAAUUCAGAUUCUCACCUUUACUUCUAGCCCAGUCUACAUAUUGCUUCUUUCCUCCAUAAUUGUCAUAAUUGUUUACCAAGCUUAAUAUCAGCCUUAUUCCGUACUUUCUUGCUUCAGAGAUGACAAGGUCCAAUCCCUUCAACAAAUUCACAGAAGGGAUCACUUGGGAGCAUGCAUUCUAUAUUGGCUUCUAGAUGUUAAAGCAAGUUGGUUAAUUAAUAACAAAAAAUGCACAAAUAACAGAAACGGGGCUGACCUGAAACAUCUUUUCAUUGUAAUUGCCAGGAGAAAACUGCAAAGGGAAAUCACCUCCAUCAUUAAAAGCCCAAGUUCUUGCAACAGUAAGGCCAUGGCUAACAGCUUCUUCAAAUGCAGUAGAUACUUUGUUUUGCUUAGAUGGGUCAGAGCCAAAGAUCAUCAACCAGUAGGCAUUGAAACCAUUUGCAUAGAAUGGACUGCCUUCUUCUAGAAAUUGUACGCCUUCAGUUCUGAUAAAUUCAUCUUGUGCUGAAACUUCCGAAGAGGUUCGUCGGUUGUGGAUCAAGAACAGAAAAAUAAGAAAAAAGGGACCAAAGUGCUUCUUCAUUCUUGUUUUCUGACAGUGUUUUAUUAGACCAGCAAAUGGGAGAUUUUAUACACUGUAAUGUAGUAAAACUAGUGUGUUUCCUCAGGUGGAGGAAGGAUGAACUUAUAAACUAAUAAAAGUGGAGACGACAAUUACAAACAAACAAAUGUUAACAGUUUUUUGCUGUGUUAUAUUGUUGUCCAACCUAGAUGCUUUUAGCUUGGUGUAACCCCGCCCGAAUCUUGCUUGCUUUCCCUGGCAAAAGGUAACUCCUCCUAUGGGCAAUUCUUGUACUGACUUGUUUCUGUUGUGAAUAUACCAGAAUCAACAUUUUGCUAGGCUAUCGUAAUAAAAUUCCUAAAACAUCAACCAUUAAAUCAUCAAUUAUACGGAAUUCGAUACCAGUAUAUCCUGAAUUUUUUGGUGAAUAAAAAAGUUUAGGAGCUGGGGAGGUAAAUGCAUUCUAAGGUCACUGAAUACUCCAACGAGAUUCUUUUAAUGUAAUGUUGGAGAGGAAUCGUCAUACUCGUACCCGUUGGGGUUAAAAUGAGACAAAACAAAAUGGGAAUCCAAAGGUUUUGAGGCACAUUAAGCUAAACGACUAACCAACAGAAUCCAUCUGUUAAAAUCGACCCAAGGGUUUCACAUUAUUAAUCUUGACGUGAUCAAUCCAUGAUGGACAAGGGUACCACGUUCAUAAUCGACAAGGGAGCUAAAUGUUCAUGACCAUUAUUAUACUAUUAAUCAUAGUUAUUAAACUCGGCCCGGAGAGAAGACCGGCGAAGGAGGUGAGUCAACGGAUCACUAGUUCAACUAGUAGAUAAGUGGUUGAACCAGUGGAUCACUAAAUAUAUUUAAAUAUUAUGUCUUAUAAUUUUUGAUAUAGGAUAUAUGAUAUAAAUUGCAACAAAUAAUGUCAUAGCAAAUGUUCAUUUAAUUUAAUUUGCUAUAGAAUAUUGAAUUCAUAUAAGAAUCAGCAAAACAUAAAUUUAAUUAGUAAUCCAUCAAACUUCAAGUGUAAAAUUUUAUAUGUUUAGUGUAAUUAUCUAGGUUAGUUAUCAAUUUUAAGUACAAAAAAUUAUUAAAAAUAAUAUUUAUCUUUAAAAUAAAUUAUGUAAUAUGUUAUUUUUUAAAUCUAUUUUAUAAUUUAUAGAAUUUAGGGGUCAUAAGUUUUUAUUAAAAGAUUCCAAAUAAAUUUGUUUUGAAGAAAUAAAAAAAAUAAAGAUAAAAUUGACAAAACGUUCAUAUAGUGUAAGAAUGGUAAUUAACUAACAUGUGGCAAAGUGGUAUGGUGGUGAGUAUGUUUGGAACGAUUUUUUUACUCAAAACCGGUUUGCCCACAAAAUCGGCCGGGUUUUCGAUUUAAUUUGAUUGAAUCGUAGGUUGUUUGAAAAGUCAACGGUUCACUUGCAAAAAUGAUCUAAUUAGCGAACCGAUCCGAUUCAAUGACUGGUUCAUCGGCUUGAUCGAUCGAACUGUCGAGCCUGGGCGCGAAUUUAAUAACUAUGCUAAUAGUCUUCACGAAGACGAUUGGUGAAUGCAAAACGUUUUCUAUUUUGUCUGUGCUUGCAUUAGUUUAUAUUGGCAGCUAGUUCAGGGACAUUGACAUGGGUACCACACUUAUUAGUUACUGCACUUAUUUUGUUUCUUGUUCUUGUAUUGAAGUUUAGAAAUUACGUAAUGUCAUUAACAAAAAUUUAGGAUGCCAAAUACUUAGAAAUUACGUAAUGUCAUUACUGCACUCUAUUUUCCCUGAACAAAAAUUUAGGAUGUCAAAAGUUUAGAAAUUACGUAAUGUCAUUACUGCACUCUAUUUUCUAUUUCAAAUGAAGUGUAUUUAUUAUUAUUAUAUGAUAUCUUAACUCAUUCGUGCAAAUUCAACAUCCGAAAUUGCGAGGUGAUAAGGGCUUCAGAUUCAUUUCGGGGUGAGGCUUAGUGAAACAAAAUAAAUAGUUAUGUGGGUGGGCUUUUUGAGGUUAAGCCGCGAGUCUUUUCUCUGCGACCAUUCCCAACUUCUUCUUCCAUUGUGAAUCCAACAAUUGUCUCUACAAGGUGAAAUUACUAGAAUUUGGAUAAAAUUGCCUAUUACCAGAAAGAAAGUCGUAAAUAUAUCUAUACAUGGUGAGAGGAGAUUAUGGCAAAUGAAACGAGGGCAGCUACAAUUAUUACAGUGCUGGCACCAUCUCUCGAAUCUUUGUUCACCUUUCUUCGGAGUUGAAUCUGUUCCAUGCAGCCUGCAUCUCGAAGGACUACUAGAUUAGAUGAACAAUCAUAUACAUUUAUCAAACAAACUGAUGGGAGAAAGGUCACAGGGAGAAAAUAAAAAAAUUUAAAAGGAAUCCCGCAAGACUUCGAAAAAGGUUAAGGUGACCAUAUAAGAGGGUGAUGCUAAGUCUCAGUGACGGAAAAUGGCUACAUGUCGCAGACUAAUUGUUUUUCUCCCUCAAGCAAACAAGUCUCAAGUUUGGAGUCAAGACUCAGCAUAGAAGCAAAAACAUGCACCUUGAGAAGAUCAAAGACUUUUUCGCAUAUGUACUUUUGCUGGAUGCUUGCCCCCCUUUGCUGUAACUUGUCAGGAUGAACAUAAAGAGUUGCCUUCCGGUAAGCUUUCUUCACAGCAUUAGUGGUUAUAAUCUCUGUCAGGGAAAUUGACUGCCAUCCACUGUUCGGCCCAAGAAUCUGUAUUCAGUCAGAGGAUUAUCAGCCAAUGCCUAAUACAAUCAGCAAUUAGAAGGGCAACAACUAACCCCACAUGAGAAGCAGCAAAUCAUAUCAAUAGUCAACUUCUUGCAUGCACUCACAUCCACCAAGACACCGAGGGAAAAUACUAGUGUCAUUGUAAAUCACGUAUGUAGGAUCACACAAGAACUUCAAGCAUCACAGCAAGGAACGCACUAACUUAACAUCAAAAUGAGAUCAAUUGGAGUAUUUUCGCAGCAGUUUUUAAUCAAUUUGAUGCAAUAGUGAAGUUUGACAACUUCCAAAAUCCAGUUAAUCAGAGUUUUUAUUUUUAUUUUUUUUUCCAAUUUUGAAACUGGAACAUCGCAAGACCAAAAAUGAAGAAAACACUGACGCAACAAGGAAUCUGGAAACAUACGUAUUGGAGAGUUGACAGCAGUGCCCGCAUGUUCCCCUCCUUCCCACUGGCCCAUCGCUUAAUAUCUGCAUCCAGAGUUUCUGCUAGUCUCUGUAUUUCAGGAAUACAAACAAGCUGGUGAGACAAAAUGCAUAAUCUUUUAUAGGGGAGGUCAAAUAGUAAGGGAGAAUUAUUACAUUUCUCUCGGCUUGCUCUCUCUGAGCAAGAACAUCUCGAAGGUUCUUCUCUGCAAGGGCUUUUGCCUGAAAAGCAGACAUCAGAACGUUAUCAUAAAUAAGUAGGCCAAAGUGAAUGUCCAGUAUUCUUAAAAAUUAUGAACACAACAAAUGCGUACCGCUCUUUCCAUGAUUCUCUGAUGUCGCUCUAACCUUGCUUUACGUCUCUGAGCUGAUUCAUUAUUGGUCCCAUCAAAGCUCUCUAAAUCCUGUCGGAUAUACAUGUAUCAACCACUGGAGAUGCAAGUAGAUAUCACACUUUAAGAGAGAAAUGAAAAUUUCAUGAAAGACACUCACAGAUGAAGAAAAGCUGUGUUUUAACCCAUUAACUCUGGAAGCACCAGAAAACUUUCCAGAAGCAUUUCUUUCUGCCUGCGUUCUCAUCUCACUGGUAGUCUUCUGGGACAAUGCUUUUUCGAGAGCACGCUCACGAGCCUCUGCAGUAGCUCUCUCUACUGCAGCACGUUCUGCCCUAAGCUUGGCAUCAAUGGAAGAAGCUUUACCUGUUGGCACCUUUGGCCCAGCAGACUUCUUCUCAAGCUUUUCCCGUGCUUCGGCCAUUGCUCUUUGUCGAACUUCAGCAGUUGCUUUGUCCACAGCAGCUCUCUCUGCCCGUUCUCGGGCUUCAGCAAAUGCCCUUUCACGAGCUUCACGAAUUGCUCUUUCAACGGCUAUUCUGUGUUUUUUCUGUUCUCUUUCCCUCUCGUUUACUUCAGAACUUUUAAGGCAAUCCUUUGCUGCCUCUUCUUUUUGCACAUUUUCUCUGAUUUCCUUAUCUUCCAUCGCGAAGGUUUUGCAUCCAUUCUCCUCAUUAUGUUCUGUACUUCGGCCUGUUUUCAUCUCAGUAUUAGUUUCCACAUGUUCUUCCCAUUUAAGCUCCACAGGGAAUUCAGAAUUUCCUGGUUCCUUUUGGCUCUUGAUGCACUCUCUUUCUUUGAGAUGUAAUUCAAUAGUAUCCUUUUCAUCAUCUUUCUCAUGAGCAAUGCCAUCCACAUGGACACUUUCUGCAUUUCCCCCAGAUUCAUGAACUAAACCAUCACCAUUUGCUGGAUUGAUGCCAGAUUCAAAUCCUCUGUCAAUUUCUUCACUUUGUUUUUGCCCAUACACUUCGUCAACCCACCCGGCACAACUUUCAGUUUUGAUAGAAUUUUCAGAUUCAUUGUCAUUGUUGUGAAUUUGUUUCUGCCCAUUCAAGUUGAUGAAAUCAAAAUUUGAUGAAUCUUUAACUUCGGAAGGAGCAUCAUUUGCCCGUUCACCAUCUACCGUGUCCUCUGUGGUGCAAUUGGAAAUGAAAACAGUCGUAAUAGCUGUCUCUGCGUCCUUUGACAGUUCUGCCUCACAAUUAACCUUUGUAAAACAAAAAUCUGCUGUCUUUUCAAUAAAAUCAACAACCUCAGAGACAUCUCUUAUCUGGCUCUCCGUUGUAUGCACUUCUUCACCCUUCAAUGUGGAUGCCUCUUCAAUGUCCUCGGUUGCUUCCGGAUCCUCUUCAAACUCAUAAAAAGAUUCAGGGAUCCCCACUUUGUGAGCCUCCUCUUCAUUGUUUCUUCUUUGCUGUUGACUAUUUGGCUCACUGCAAUUUUCUACUUCAGAUCUGCAUGCCUCCUGAAUGUCAUCUGGGUUGACACUCUGGUCGUUGUAUGCAUCAAGAUCCGUAUCAAGACUCUCCUUGUAAGCAGCCUCCUGAAAUAAAUUUGCCCCAGGAUUUUCUGCACUAUCUACUGUUCGGUCCCAGGAGUCACCAACUUCUUGAACCUCUUCAUUGACUUCUAUCUUCUGGUGCACUGAGCUGUUAUCAGCAUCUUCAUCCAUACUAUCCUCUUCUAUACUUUGGCAACUCCCUGCAGAUCUUCUAUCAAUUGCUUCCCAUACAUGCUCUUCCUCUGACAUAUUCUGGUUUUCUUCUCCAUUACCCGAUUGCAUUGAUCUCAGCCCAUCAGUUUCUUGCUUAUAAUAACCUUCCAACCUAUCCUCAGAAUCAUCUUCCAGUCCCUUUCUGCUACAUAUACAGCAAGUGGCCCUCUUUAGCGCAUGUUCAUUACCAAACCAUAGAUGAAAAUCUUCCUGCUCAAGAUCAACUUCUUCAUCCACUUUGCAAUCUUCUUGUCUGCACACAUGAAUAUCCUCCAGUUUUUCCUCUCCUUCCUGAUCAGAGGACCUUUUCUCUAGCUUCAAGAAGUCAUUUUCUUGCAAAGGAUUCCCCAACUUUUCAGGCUCAAAGUGUCCUUCACUUAUUGUUUCGUUAAAAUCCUCAUGCUUCUCCUUGCAUUUUUGCUCUUCCACUAAAUUAGCUUGUCCGUUUUUAGUUACUUCAUCUGCUUGGGAAAAUAUCUGGGUUUCACUUAAUUUGUCUUCGUUAGCAAACGGAGAUGACUCAGAACUGUCUACAUUUUUUUUCAACUCCUCUGACCUUCCAAGUGCAUUUAACUUGGCCUCUGUAUCCCCAGACUCAAGGAUUCUGUUAACAGCAUUUACUUUCUCACUAGCAUUCAAGUCCACGGUCACCUUAACCAGAUUUGGCUCUUCGAUGCUAUGUUUUUCUUUAUCCAAAGUUUGAAUAGUGCUAUUCCUCUUACCUACCAGCUCAGAGGCCAAAGCUGCCACUCUAUGCUUUCCAUUGCUAAGCAGUUGAGAAAACCACGUUGCCACCCCAUUUCCCUCAGAUACUUCAACAUUUUCACCAUUUAUUGCCACCACACCCUGUCGACCUGUAGAAGACUCCUCACAAUCUUUGAAGGGUAAAGCAACUUCACCAUUUCCAAAUGCAAGGUACUGGUCACCUCCACAGGAAUCUGGCAUUUCAUUAUCUACACUUCUACAUGCUUCAUUCACAUUUUUCUCUCUGACAUUGUGUACUUCCUGAACAUGCUUCAUUUCCCUUGCAUCCUUAGUUUUUAACCUCCCCUUAGAAUGCAGUUUAGAACUUUGGCCAGAAUCUCUUUUUCGUUCCAUUAUUUCCUUCACAAUUCUUAUGCUUUCUUGGGCCUGCUCUAUGGCUUCUUUUAAAGCAGCUGCUGGGGCAGCAGCAGCUGAAUUUAUGUCAAGUUCCUCAUCAGAGAAAGGAGUUGAAUAACCACCAGUAACCUUUUCAGAAGCCUCAACUUUAGGAUCAUAACUUGAAGAAUUUGAUCUGUUGGUGUGCCCCUUGCUAUCAAACAGAUUGGCUGAAGAACUACAAGGUGGAGGCACAUUAUAAGGAUGUGACUUCAUGCCAGGUUUCUCCAUAUUUGACGGUAUAUCGCUCGAAUUGGAUGCAUCCUGAUAACAUUCGCCUUUAUCUUUAACCAAACUUUCAGAAGAUUGUAUCGUAGGCAGUUGCCAUUUGGCUCUCCUCCCAGAUUUUUCUUCAGAGAUGUCAACAUUUGAGCUCCUAUUAUGAUUAACUUCUAACUUAACUUGGGGCAUUGCCUUAUCCUUUUCUCCUUUUUGCUGACGAUCACUGCAGUUCCUGUUAUGAUUAACAUCGGAUUUGACUGAAGGAAUAGCCUUAUCCUGUUCCGUCUUUUGCAGACAGUCACCGGAGCUCUGGUUAUGACUAACUUGUGUUUUCAAUGGGGGCAUUGCUCUGUCCUGCUCUGUCUUUUGCAGACAGUCACUCAAGUCCUGGUUAUGACUAACUCGUGCUUUCAAUGGAGGCAUCGCCUUAUCCAAUUCUGUCGUUUGCAGAUGAUCAAAGGAGCCCUGUUUAUGAUUGCACUCUGCUUUAACUUGAGAUAAUGCCUUAUCCUGCUCUACCUUUUGUAAACGGGCAGUUUCAUCAAUUAGGCAUGUAAACCCAGGAACAGCAUGGAGUUGAGCUAUGUGUGUAGUGCCGUUGGAACCAUCUUUCCUCUGUUGGCCAGUCUUAUGAUAAGACAUAUUAAACUGCUUUCCACCAUCAACAAAAUCCUCAGAUGCUUCAGAUGAGUGGCUUUUAUUCUUCUCAGAAGAAUAAAAGUGAUCUGAUCCUUUUAGAGGAGGACACGGGUCUGUUGAGAUCCUAGAAAAGUUGAAAAGAAAACUUGAGGUAGUAAGAUAAGGUGCCAAGAAAAUUUUAGAAGAAAGCCUUGGAAGUAACCAGUACUUGUAUGUGAUCUGACAUACAAGUACAUUGCUACAGAUAAUCACUGUAAACAUGCAACCCCAGCAUCCAUAUAACAUCACUAGAUGCUUCAAACACAUGCAAUAAAAGCUGCUCCCUUCCUGCCUUUUGCCCUAUCCCUCUAACAACACAGAGAAAAUCACCCCAGAAAUGCAUUCAUUGUACAUAAAAUAUGCACUUUUUGUUUGUCGAGAAAAAUGAUAAUCUGCUAAAAAUCUUAUUUCAUAAGAAGGUUGUCAAACACCUGUCCCGUGUAAACCAUAAGCUUUCUUUUAUCAGCUGAACAACACCUCACAUUAGCGAAAAACAAGAAGAUGUGUAAUUAAUUCUUCUAAACAACAUCUCACAUAAGCGAAAAACGACAAGAUACGUAAUUAAUUCUUAAAGCAACAAGAUACAGCAAAAACUAUCAAAACCUCCAGCUACUGCAACAACCAAAAUCCCAAGAAUCAGGCUUGAAACAGCAAAUUUAAACUUUUCAUAAUCGUAUAAACCUGCCACAUAAUCAAACUGCACAGGAAAACCUUCUAAUACCUCAACAUCUGAAAGAAACAAUAGCUUACAGGAUAUUAUUGAGACACAUUACCCAUUUUGGCAUGACCAGUCCAAAUUUUCCCUAUUCUACCAAAUGUAUAAAAUAUACAUCAUUCCAACAAGGUAUCACUAGAAACACAUUUACUAACAAUAUUCCAAUUCAAUCUGCGAGCUGCAACAAAGGAAAAUCUAUUAUAGCACUUUCCUUGAAAAGAAGAGUCCACGACUAAAACACAUACAAAGACGGAGAGAAGUUAUACGAGAAAAGUUCGAAUUUUUAGCAGGAAUGGAGAAGAUAAGUAUCAGUAAAAUCUUCAAGAUUUAAAUUUGCUUUCAGCAGCCAGUAAUGUCAGCUAAAGAAAACUCUAUCAUUCUCAACAUUUCAACAGAAAACAAGAAAAAAGGAGGACAUUUUUCACUUCUUCCUGGGAAGAUAAGCAAGACCCUUCAACAAACUAAGCAUUACCUCAAGAACCCAGAAGGGAAAGGACAAACAAAAAUUCAACUCUAAUAUCCCCAAAACAAAAAGGCGAAAUAUAAAAAUUACCUAGCUUUAGCUUUAUCGCGCUUGACUUUUUUAACUCCAUUAAACAACUCUUCACAAGGCGGCACAGCCAUAGCUACAUUAUCACCAACAGCACCACCACCAAAGCCUCCAAAAAUGGUCGAAUAGUCCAGCUUGCUAUUGGAGCUCCGAAACCCACCCGAGCCAUGUCUUUCAUCCAGGUCCGACAGGUCAAGAACCGGAAUAGAACUGCCACGUGUACCAUUUCUGCCACCAAAAAUUUCAGCGUAGUCUUCAGCAGCUACUUUUCUUGAGGCAAAUCCCGCAACAGCUCCGAACCUCGGUUUAGAGCCACCGAGCAAAACAUCGUCGUAGGCGUCUUUACCGGAAAAUGACAAGCCAUUGCUGUUAGUGCUACUGGCAUUAGAAAGCUUUCUUCUGUGGUGAAAAAAAGGCCCAGUCAAAGACUCCAUCGAAGAGACAAAAAUUUCUUCGAGCUUUAGCCUGGCUUUUUCUCUUCUGGUAAAAACGCGUUUUUCAAAGUUUCUCUGAUUUAUUAUUAUUAUUAUUUUCUACCACUCUUCUUCUUCCUCGGUGGUCUGCGUUAAGCCUCUGCAGGGAAAACGCUGCCCUGCAGAGCCAGACAAAAGGGGGAAGAGAAAAAAUGAGUGGGGUUAGAAUAACAAAAUGGAGAAAUGAUUUUAAGUGCUUGCUCGCUGUAUUGGGGCUGUGCUGGCAUUUGGCAAGCAGGGAGUGACCGGUUUUGCCGGUGGGGGAGGCAGUGUGGCCCGUAUUAGAGACAUAACGUCGCCGUAAGGGUAUAUUUGGAAAUUCGGAUCGCACCCCGUUUUGAGGAAUUGUGCAGGCGUGAAUGAACUAUGAAGAGGUUGAGAACCAAUUUAGGACGGAAUCAUUUAUUUAUUAGCUCUAUUAGGCUAAUUAAUUAAACUAGUUUUGAACAAAGACUAAGGGUAUUUGUUUUGACUUUAAUUGUAAAAUCAUUAAAAAAAAAAGAAAAUUGAUUUCAUGUAUGAACUAACUGCGUAAGAGGAAGUUGGAUUGUAAGUUUGAAUAAUAUCUAGUAGUUGAUAAUAAAAUACUAUAAGAAUCUUCAUAAUUAAAGCUUGAUUUAUUUUCUCCAUUAUUGCUCGUUUCUUCUUCUUUUUUUCUCUCUUUUUGCACCCAUUGUUCUGGAGAAUAUUUUGAGAAAAUAUAGUGCAUAGAUAGCUCUGUUUGGUUAGUUAUUUUUUGAAAUAUUUUUAAAAACUUUACUGCAACUGUGUAUAUAAAAAACUUUUACUAUAAAUAUUUUUUAGAUUAUUUUUAGAGGCAUUUUUAAACUAUAUUUUGGGAUAUUUUUAUAAUUUAUAACUUUUUUAGGAUAUUUUUUAAAAAAAUUUUACACCACCCACCACUAUCCCCCCUCCUUCCUCCUCCAAUUUUCCUCGCUCUUCUCUCUCCUUCCCUCAUUUCCCCCAAUCCCAAACCUCUCUCCCACUCACGGGUGGUGGUUGCAAAUCUAACCACCACUUUAGUCACAACCUUCUUGGUCGCGACCAAAAGCCAUUGGUCGCGACUUUUGGCCGUGACCAGAAAGUUGUGGUCAGUGGAGGAGAAGGGGUACUGAAGGAUGAGGUAAGGGAAGAGAGAACAGAGGAAAGAGAAAGAGAGAGAGGAGGAUGAAGAAAAAAGGAGCAGGAGGAGAGAGGAGGGAGGAUUGUGGGUGUAGGGUGAUGGCGGUAAGGUGGUGGAAAGUGCUGGGUGACGGUAGUGUAUUCUUUUGUAUAUUUGAAAUUUUUUUUAAUAUAUUACAUGAAUGUAAUAGUGUUUUUGGAAUUAUUUUUUUUGUGUAUUAUUGUAAUAUUAUAUAUGAAUAAUUUGUUUUUAAAAAUUUGAGGAAACCAAAUAGAGCCCAAGUUAUUCAAGCUCAAUUUCAAGCUUGGCUUGUUAAAAACUUAGUAAAAAGUUAAAUAGAAAUAGAAAUAUAAGUUUGACUUUGAGGGAAGAGAGGGGGGGGGGGGUUGGAGAAGUACACAAUUUGAAGUAAAUUUGAAAACUGGAGUAAUAUUUGCGCUCGACCAAGGACAAAGAAGAUUUAAGGUAUGUUUGGAAUGUUGUGAUUGCGAAUGUGUUUGAAUAGUUGGUUCAUGGCUGUGGCCCUGUGGGAUGUUUAAUGCGUCAGCGUUUUUACGUGUAGUUUGGGAAUGGGGCCUUUCGUAGAAGUCCCUUAAAAGUUGUUGUACAGGAUUGUCAUUUUAGACAGCGGGUCCCUUGGGGUUAAUUGGGAGCUUCAGAGCUAUGUUUUCAUGCUCGAAUCGAGUAUCCACUCGAUUGAGUUCAAGGCUCAGGGUCAAUCAGAGGAUAUCAUAAAUAACAAUUAUUUUUAAAUUAAAAUAUUAUAUAUAAAAUAUCUAAGAACAUGUUAAUAUUAAUAAAAAUAUAUUUAAAUAUAUUUGAUGUUUCAAAUAUGUUUAACAAGAAAAUACAAAAAAACUAAAACGAUUAAGUAGCAAUUUACAUUAUUCAAUGAACAGUAAUAAGUUUAAAAUUAAAAUUAUGGACUUGAUUGAAAAAUAACACCAAACAUUAGGAUAACAUUUUAUAAAGUAUGAAAUAUUUGAGAUAUAUUAAUAAUUUAUAACAAUAUAGGAGUCAAAACAUAAUAUUAACAAUGCUUUGACCUUCAAAAAAAAAAAAACUUUGACACCAAACCGGUUCUUUCGAUUUUUUCGAUUUUUCCGGUCAAAUCCAAUUUUUGACUUGGUAUGACUGUGUUUCUAUCAAUGUGAUUUUUUAGGAUAAUUUGGAUCGGACACUUUGUCUGUUUUCGGUUCGACCGUUCCAGUCUAGUUCGAAUUUAAAAACAUAGAAUCAGUGUUUACCGGUACUAUUCUUAAUUGUGAAAAUGCUUCUCAUAAUAUGCAUUAGACAGGAUUUAAAUCCUCAACCGAAUAAUAUAUCAAAGAGUUUUAAAGGGGUUCUUGUUAUUUAUGGUCAUCGGACCAAGGUCAAUGGCUUCAACUCGUUGUUCAUUGGAUAUCUCAUUUUCGUUUAUAUAUAUUUUUUUCCAACAACGCAAAGUGGAAGAAAUCUCAUUUUCGUUUAUAGCUUUUCAUAUAUUUUGGCUGAUUAAUUUUGACUCAUCUUCUCAUGUCAUGAUUGCGAUUGCAAAGAGAUAGAAAAAAAAUGAAGGUCUUUCCCAAACGCGGUGACAGGCAAAUCGUUCAUUGGAAAAUUCAAACAAGAUGAUCAUUUGACAUAGAUGUUACAAUGGAACUAAAUAAUAGCGCGAUUAAGGAUUCAAACUUUACUUUUAUAUCAAUUAUAAUGAUACGCAAUUUCUCAAAAAACUCAUAUAGAUGCGUAAUAGAUAAAGUGACGAAGUGAUGAUGACAAAAAAAAAAAACUGAUCAUAUAUUUUACGCUUCUUUGGAGAAUCACUUAUGGGAGAGAGGUUAAUAUGCAUGACAACAUCCUAUAACCUAAUAAUUACAAACAAAAAAAGAAGUAAUUAUUACAACUUUUUGCUAAGGCUUGGAUAUAGUUGUCACUUUAUGAGUUUCAAACUAAGGAAUUAUCAUGUGUUGAAUUUUAAAAAAGCUACAUCGCUACUGGACUCUGCCAAACUGUCAUCCGCUCAGAUAUAGCAGCAUGCAAAAAUAGAGAAUUCAAUUUACUGCUCAAGUUUCAAAACUCGUAGUACAAAAAUUUAACAAGGUAACUAGACAAAUUAUUACUCCGUUUACUAAUGGCAACUUGAGCAUAGAUUGUCUACGUUUCACAAUAAUGAUUAUUUACAUGUAAAUCUUGAAGUGUGUGCAAUACAAAUUUCUGCAAAAUGGUUGAGCGGCUAGAUUGGCCUGAAAUUAAUUUAGAGUUAUACCCUAUUUAUAGUUUCACCUAGAGUCUCACUUUAAUUUGUUUUCCUUAAUGAUAUACGGUGUUGGAGCACAAUUUUUGUAGGUCAUUAAAACACAUAUAUUUCGUAGGCAAUUACACAAUUUUGUAGCUCAUGAUUUUUUUCAAAUGGAUAUAACAUGUUCUAAUAUAAAUGCAAGUAUGGAACAAAACAUAUUUAAGAGCUUGGAGCAAGCAAGGCAUUGUAUGUAUUAAAGUUAUAACCGUACUCUCAAUUACAGUAGCCAUGCAUUGGCCUUUCAAACUAAGGUUGUGUUUGGAUUGCAUUUUUUAUAAUUUUUUAUGGAAAAAUUACUGUAGCGAUUUGAUAUAUAUGAGAGAAAAAGGUAAUAGAAAACUGUGAUCACGGAAAAUAACGUAAUUUUUCGACGAAAAAUUACAAUCCAAACAAAGCCUAAAUUCCCCGUAUUCUCUCCAGAUUUACUUUUUCCCCUUGAAAGUACCCUGCACAAGGUGUUAAUAAUGACCUUGUCAAAUCAUGCACCUCACAGUUCUCAACUAGACUUGAUUUCAAGUGGUGGGAUGGUGGGGUUUCAUUCCUCCGGCACCAUUUGUUUGUUUAGGGGCGGCAUCUGCAGAGGAUUUCACAGCACAUUCAGAUGGGCAUCAUAUGCAAGACUGCCCUCUUCACUUUGCUUCCCAGUAAUCCAGUACUGUGUAUAUGUUCUCACUCAGCUUUGAACCCUUUUUUUUUUUUUUUUUCUGUAUUAAUCAUCUCCAUCAUUUCCAAGAGAAAUAAACCAGCUUCUAUCGAUCCGGUGAAAGAGCUAUCUGUGUACAGCACUUAAUUUGUAUAUACAGUUGCAAAUUAUGCUUGUAUAAAUCAGCAUAGUGUAGUCAUUCUAUAGGGGAAUUGAAUAAGCAUAAACAAGAUAGCCCCAAGUGAUUCAUUUUACAGAUGAAAACUAAGCUGUAGUAUCUUUAUUUAGCAUAAGGUACAGGAUCCUUUUUGGGUAGCUUUUCUCUCAAUGUUUCUAAUAGCGGAGAUAGGUACUUUUUCUCCAUGAACUGAAACAGUAAUUAGCAUUAGCCAUUCAAUUUUGGGAAAGUACAAUGAAGGUGGCAUUUGGUUUUGAACCAUAAUUAAUAAAGCACCGACCAGAUUCGUCUUUAAAUAAAAUAUAUUGAACUAUCUGAAUUAUUAGUAUUUCUUUAUUUGUGUCAAAGCCCUCCCAUUGACAUUCACAUCUACUAAAAAGAAGAAAAUGAUUCCGCCAGAGCAAGAAUCGCCAGACAAUAGAACUGCAACCAAUAAAAAAAAAAAAGUACAGCAGUAUUUCCACAUCGCCCAAAACAUGUUAAUUGUCCGGACACCUUCCAACAUGGCAGCUUAAUUGAAAAAUCAAACGCGAUUAAAUUUUGUUACCUUAUCUAACUUGAGGGUAUAGGAGAAUUAAUAUUUCAAAUUACUCAACCUUUUAUCUGCCAUAAACUGAUGUAUAUUGGCCAUAAUAAACCUCUUAGCGAAACACUUAAGAUUACUAUAUAUAUGUACAGUUAUUUAUAGAUUUUGUACUCAAAACCUCCUACUUACUUACGGGUUACCGUCUUUCCCCAAUCCAACCCUUCUCAGAAGCGGUUAAGUUGAAGCGGUAUGAAUUUGCACCACAGCUCAUUGACAGUUUGACGCCAACCAUGCUAACUUCCAUGAAAAUGGAAAUGUAUGGCUGGAUGCGACCUUUCCAAGAAAAACCAAACUUGGAGGCAAGGGGAAGUAAUCUUUUCUUGCACAAUGUAGACAUGGAAAUAGACGACCUUAAACCUCUGUUUUGAAAUUCGGACCGGACCGGCCGAUCGAACCGGAAACCGACCAGAUAGUCGGUUCGAAUCAUACUAAAAAAUCGGGAAUUUAAAACCCGGUCAAAGUCGGUCAAAAACCGGAUUUGACCGGAAAAAUCGAUUUUUCCAGUUCAACAGUGUUUUUUUAUAAAAAAAUUCAAACUUUUUAAUAUUAUGUUUUGACCCCCUAAAUUAUUAAAACUUAUUGAUAUACCUCAAAUAUUUGAUACUUUAUAAAUAUUGUCCUAAAUUUUGAUGUUAUUUUUCAAUUUAAUUUAUAAUUUUAAUUCUAAACUUAUUAAUAUUUAUUAAAUAAUAUAAAUUGCUACUUGAUUGUUCUAAUUUCUUUGUAUUUUCUUAUUAAAUAUAUUUGAAACAUCAAAUAUAUAUGAAUAUACCUUUAUUAAUAUCAACAUAUUAUUAAAUAUUAUAUAUAUAAUAUUUUAAUUUUUAAAUAAUUUUUAUUUAUGACGUCAUCCGGUUUGACCCCUAUCGAUCCCCGGUCGAACCCAUUGACCCCUGACCCCUGACCUCGGCCGAGUUGCUAUCCGGUCCGAUUCUGAAAACAUAGCCUUAAGCCCCCUUUUUUUUGGGGGGGGGGGGCUUUUUUUUGGGGGGGGGGGGGUUUGGACUUUUCUUUUGUGGGGGUAUUCCGUCUUCGUCAAUGGGAUCCUAGUAAUGAUUUUUGGUUCAUGCACAUGAAGAAUCAUUCACAGCCACGUUACAUGAACUAACCGUCAAAUACUUUGAGAGCUUAGGUUAGUUUAUUAGGAAUGAGAUCCUAUAGGACCCGCAUAAGCAUGGCACUUAAAGGCAUAUACUAAUUGACAACAAAUUUUAAACCACAGACAGGGAAAAAUCAAAAGUUGUCUCCUCAAGUGAUGGCCCUCCAUUGUUUAAAGCCACUUCUUUAUCAAAAGGGUGUCUUUUCCUAUGGUGGUAUUAUUAUUUGAAUUAUUGGGAUGUUAAUUGGUAAAAGGCUGUUCUCUUGUUGAUCCUGUCAUCAUUGCAUUCUAAUUCCGUUUCAAAGUUGAAACGAUUUAAUAGAGUACUAAUGCUCAUUCAACAAACAGAAGCGCUGCUUAGUGUUGAUGGUGAUAUCAAUAAAUUUUGUUAAUUCUAUCACUUUCCCCUGUUCUCUUUCCACCCUUAACUAUGAUUUAUUAGUCACAAAACUCAAAUCCCGAACCUUAAUUACUGUAUGCAUCAACAAAAUAAAUUUACUAAUUGAUGUGAUUGAUUCCCCAACUAGAACUUUUUAGGUCUCAUUCUCAACCAAGAUGUUUUUUCUUACAUUCUAUAUGCAUUGCAUACAACCACCUGCCUUUGGCCCGAUGACCACCACCAAUGCAUUAAGAUUUGGUGAUCAAUUUGCCACAACAAUUAAAUGUGGACAUACUUAAAAAAUCCAGACGGAUGCGUAGUGCGGUUCAGUCUCCUCCGAAUUAUCCCAGAACCUCUUCAGGCCCUCCCCUCCCCAUAGUGCAUGAAACUAUUGUAUCGAAAAAAAAAAAAAAGAUAUACAUUGCAUACAUCUCAUGCAACAACAAAAAUUAGGACGGGUAAAAAAUUGAGAAUUGAGGUAGAUUUGCCGAAUCAGUAUUCACAUUACCUUUAAUUUAUCAUUGAAAUAACUUUGCUUAUUCUUCUGGGACAGAACAAAUGUGACGAGACAGGUUUCUUGUGGAACAAAAAUCUAAUCGAACGAAUUAGCGCGGAGACAAAAAGAAAAAGUAAGAUUAAACUACUGUGAUUGGAGAAGUAAACUUUUGAAGAAUCUUUGUGAAAAGAAUAAAGUAAUCAUGGAAUGAGAGAAGCGAGAAAAAAUUAUUAAAUCAUUGGAAAAUUUUGAUAUCCAAAUUUGCUUUUCACUUUUGAUUUGUUUUCUGAAAAGAAACGUAAGCUAAUGACAAUCUGCUAGAUCCACUAGCUUUCACAGCAGAUCCGCCAGACAUCUUUAGUUAUAGAGAGAUAGACAUCUGAACACCAUUUUCUGCCAAUGCACACAAAGUAAAUAAAGGUAUGAAUUAGUCUAAUCAAAUCGAAUAUUUUUAUAUUUAAAUUUAUUCAAUUAUUUUAAUAAUUUUAAAAAUUUGUUCAAAUAUAAUUUAUUUAUAUAUCAAAUCGAGUUUGAGCGAUUUUUUGUUAUCAAAUUUGAAUGUUAUGAAAUAUAAAAUAUUAUUCAAUCUUGACUUGAUUAGUUAGCAAAUCAGGAUCAAACAAACUCUUAUCAAAUUGAGCUUCAAUUAAUUUGAGCAUGGAAUAAUUUGACUCAUCUUUCAAUCCGAGACGCUAAAUGAACAUUGGGCCAUCGCAACUUUAAAUUUGAUCGGGCUUGAGAUGAACUAGAGGUGGCAAUAUGGAUAAAUGAUUCAUAAUUGGUUUUGACUUAAUGGAUGGUGGAUAAAAUUUAUCCAAUCCAUUUAGAUCCAUUUAAUAAAUGGAUCUAAAUGGAUUAAAUAAAAACCAAUUAUCCAUUUAUAAUCCAUUUAAAUAUUUUUGUUACUUUUUUUUUGUAUUACCAUUUCUUGUAAAUUCAAGCCACAAAAUACCACGGAUGUAAAUUCAAGCAAAAUGAACCUUCAUUUCACUAAAAAACUAUCUGAAAUUAUUAUUAUUAUUUUUUAUUAUUAUAUUAUUAUAUAUGUAUAUAUAUAUUACAUAUUACAGAGUAGCCAUAUAUUGCAAACUAGCCCAAACAAUAGAAGUCCUGCAUAGACCGUACGUAGGGUAUCUACAAAUUCGGCAUCCAUGGAAUUUAAUUAUGGCCCAUAUUAUCUUCUACUUUUAGCCUUGACUGCAUUUAAAUUUAUCUCAAAUUCGGCAUUUCCCUCUCAAUUAAUUAAGUCCAAGAACAGAUACCAGUUUUCUGUUGUACUUUAAAAAAUAAGAGAGAUCUUAGAACAAGUAAAAGUUCAUAGAUAUAUGAUUCAAGUGGAUUAAUUAACCGAUUUGUAAACUUAUUAAUGUGUUUGUUACCAAAAAGAAAAUGAUCAAAUUUACCCCUCCUAAUUCAAAAUCCUCUCAUGGUCUGAUGUUGACCCACUUUCUUAGCAAAUGAAUUAGAUUUCACUAAGUGAAGAAUUAAAAUAAACUAGUAACUCACCUUAUUCAAAAAUGCAUUUAAAUGAAUAACUAUAUUUUUCUUGUUCUAGUUACUAGUUCAUGUAAGCAAAAUUUUCACACCCCAAUUGCAAUUUUAGGAUGGCUCCUUUUUUAGUCAUUUCCUUUCCCUCUCUUUUAUUUGGUUUUUAAGUAAAUGGAUAUAUAUGAUUUUAGUGGAUAAUCCAUAUAAAUCCAUUUAAUUUAAUGGUUUUACUUUGAUCAACCAUUUAAAACCAAUACUAUAAAUGGAUAAUCCAUUAUCCAUUUAAUUAUGAAUUAUAUGGAUGGAUAAAUGGAUUUCAAUCCAAAUUGCCGCUUCUAAGAUGAACCUACUUUAAGUCUUGCCUCCACCGAUAGUAUUUAUUAAAGUUAUGAUCCAUCUUUUGAUGCGCACGACCACGUUUUGUCAGGGUUUAUCCUGCUUGCUUUUACGGCUGAACAUGAGGAAAAUCUGUUUUAACAAAUUUCAAAAUGAUGGCUCCUCCAGUUUGCCUAUGUUUGGUAUCGCUUCUUCAAUUGGUAUACUUUUUCAUCGGAUAUUACCCAAGAUUUUAUUUUAUCUGAACCAAAAAAACUACCAUAUUUCCUAUGUAUUAAAGCACCAUUAUCUUUUAGUACAAUUACUCUAGUAAUUUCUAUCAUCAGCAAAAGAAAAUACAUACUCAUGUUUCGGACGCCAGUGUUGUUGUUGUUGUUUUUUUUUUAUUAUGUGCUAGACAUCAUCUUCAUGAAUAACAUAAAAAGCCAUUAAGAUAAUGAUAGCGCUGUAAUUUGAAAAUUAAAGAGAGAAUAAACAUCAAGAAAAUUUGAAAACAACAAUAAUUCUUCCCCACCCGCUUAUUCACUUCUCGUGUCUAAUGCACAUUAAAGAAAAAAGAAAAAGAACAGAGUCUAAUAAGGUGAUUAGUAUAACCAAAUAAAAACCUAUAAUGAUAUGUUUCUUUCAAACACAAUAGAUUUAGUUAAUUUUCAUGCAGAUAGAUUAGUAAUUCUGAGAUCAAAUGAAAUAUUACAUAUUACAUAUUAAUUGUUGAUGAGAGCUAAAAAACUUAACGCCACAACAACAUAAUGCAAGUCAAUUAGGGAGAAUUGAGUUGGGUGAUAAGGUGGGAGGGAUUAUAAACAAGAGAUUUUAGGUUCAAAUCCUCUUACUUAUAAAAAAAAAAAAAAGGAGAAAAAGAAAGAAAAAAGUCAAUUAAAAACUGGCACUUGGUUCCGCCCAUUUAUAUCCGGAGAAGCUUUGGACCAGAAGAAAAAGGCCGGAGCACAUAGAGAAAUGCGUAGUUCCAAAGGGUCCAAUCUCAAUGGCCCAAGAAGUCUAAUAUCCAGACCCUGUAUGAACCACCCAUAUCCUGAUCGGCUUCAGCACAAAAUUAUGGGUCCAAUCUCAAUGGCCCAAGAAGUCUAACAUCCAGACCCUGUAUGUAGGCCUGUCAAUCGGGCCUAAUGAGCCGGGCUUCGGGCUAUGAGUUUCGGGUUCAUAAAUGUGAAGCUCAUACUCAACUCACAUAAUAUUCGGGUUGUGAGUCUUAAUCGGGCUUAGCCCAAGCUCACUUAUUACUCCUGAAUUUUCUUAAUAUAAUUACUAUAACUAUUAAGUUGUAAAACUAAUUUAACAUUUACAAGACUAUAAUAUUAAAACUAAACAUGAACAAAUAAUAGUUCUUAAAAAGUAUAUAAACCAAAAUUUUUUCAACAAUAUUUAUAUGUAAUCCGUUUAAAAUGCAUGAAAAAUAGUAAUAAAACAUGCAAUCAUAAGCCAAUACAUCUUUAAAAGUUGAAACUUUUUUUUAUAAUCUUGUGAUUUAAAUCCAAAUAUGCUUGAUGAUUUUUGUGUUUGUAGACCAAAAAAAAAAAAUCAACCAAUAAUAUGCCAAUACAAAAAGUUACUCAACCAAUAAAAAAAAUUAGAGAUUUAGUUAUGCAUUACUAAUAUUGGCUCUCAAGAAAGCUCAUGAAAGAGUCUUUAGAUGUGUUUUUGUGUUUUGUAAUUUAUAUAUAUAUUUAGCAUUUAGCAAAAAUAUAUUUGGAUAUAUAAUUAUACAUAAUAUCAAAAUAUAAAUAUUAUAUAUAUAGGUAAUUAAAGGGCCGGGCCUAUAUCGGGUAUGAGUCUAAUAAGGCCCAAGCUCGGCUCAUAUUUAAUUCGGGCCUAAUUUUUAGGCUCAAACUCAGACCGGUUCACUAAAUGAUCAGGCUCAUCGGGCUUUUUGUUGGGCCGAACGAGCCGAGCUCGGGCUGGCCCAGCCCCAUUGACAGUCCUACCUGUAUGCACCACCCAUGUCCUGAUCGGCUUCUGCACAAAAUUAUUGUAGUCCCCCAUGUACUCGAACCCCUCUCUCUCCAAUUAGAACCCUCGCUAACCAAAAAAUAAAAUUGUAAAACCCCGGAUGUCUUUUCCAAUCUUGUCUUGAGGAAAAAGAAAAGAAAAGAAAAGAAAUUAAAUUAAACCUGAAGUACUUCUACUGAGGGCAACCAAUACUCCUCCAUUGCGUGCUUAGUGUGUGAAAUCGUAAUAACAAUUCGAGGAAGAUUUUGAUCGGGAAAUCUAACUAAAGAUGUUUCGCAAUCAAUACGAUACGGAUGUGACGACAUGGUCGCCGGCGGGGAGGCUAUUUCAGGUGGAGUACGCGAUGGAAGCGGUCAAACAAGGUUCGGCGGCGAUAGGGCUGAGAUCGAAGACUCAUGUGGUUUUGGCUUCCGUUAACAAGGCCAAUUCCGAGCUAUCUUCUCACCAGAAGAAGAUCUUCAAGGUCGAUGACCACAUCGGAGUAGCUAUCGCCGGACUCACCGCCGACGGCCGCGUUCUCUCCCGUUACAUGCGGUCUGAGUGUAUCAAUUAUAGUUAUUCUUACGAGUCUAAGUUACCUGUCGGACGCCUCGUUGUCCAGCUUGCUGACAAGGCGCAGGUUUUGUUUUGUUUUUUUUUUUUUCCCUCUCUUCGUUCGAUUUAUUUGAUUUUUUUAAUUUUAUGCUGUAUCUGUUAGUACACCUAACUUUUUGUCAUUCUGUUAGUUUGUAUUUGUUCUAUGGAAUUUCAGUUUGUGAAGUUUUAGUGGACACUUAGGGAUAGAGUUUUAGAAGGGAGCACUUAGUGGAUUGAAGCUGGAUAAUGAAAAUUUUUUGUUCUUUGUGAUUUUUAGGUUCAAUCUGAUCGGAUAAUUAUGAGAAAAUGGUUUAUCGGAGCCAAAUAGUGUCGCUUAGUUUCUUAUGGAUAUUGGACAUACCUUCAGUGAGGACCAUGUCUCUGUGGUGCAACGAGUGCUAAAUUGGGUGAGCGAAUGCCUGAGAGGUGGUGGUGUUUCUGAUCCAAUUUAUGGCUAUUCGUCUAUCAGCUGUGCCAUGGUUGAAAUAUAAGUUUAAUUUUGUUGUCCUUUUAACAUAAUCCUAAAGUCACAACAUUUAUGUCUCACAUGCUACAUUGUUUGUUCAAUACAAAGUAAAUUGAGAUUUUCUUAAUGUGCUUGCUAGCACACACCUUUGACAUGCUAUAUGAUGUAACAUGAAUUAUUACUGUCUUAAGAAAAGAAAGUAGAAAUUAUUAAUGUGAUAUAGAUUGGACUAAGUUAGCUUUUGUCUUGGUUCAUCAAAGUUUACGGUAAAUUAAUUGGUGCUUCUUGUGUAAAUAGUUUUCCUCCUUUGGAAUUUUUUUGGGUAACAUCGAGUGUGUUUGGAUAGGAGAUUAUUUGAAAUAUUAUUUAGAAUAAUUACUGUAGCACUUUUUGCCAUAUGAUGUAUGUGAGAUAAAAAUGUGAUUGAGAAGAUAAAAAAAAGUGUGUUGGAAAAUGUGUUGCUUUACUUUGAUAAACUUUUGUUAUCAAUUCCCAUUGUUCUGUUUUUUUUUUUUGGUGGAUGGUCUUUUCUUGGAAAAAGUUUGUAGAUAGGUGGCAUCUGAUUACUGUCUAUUCAUGGACUGACCCUUAUUUUUCUGUGAAAUUGUUUAGAUGGGUUAUUAACAUAUGCAUUGAUUAUACUGUUACCCAAACAAAAAAGAAAAAGGUAAUAUAGCUUACCUGUUAACAAGUUUACGCAAUGACAAUAUAGCUCCUGAAGCUGCAAAAUUUAGGCUUGAAGCUGUUUGAAGGUCCUGAUUUGUGAUAUCAUAGUGUAGUGACUGGCAGGCUAUUUAGUGACAAAUUACUCUGUGUUCAUUUAAAAAGAAAAACAAAAGAAAAGAAAAGAUGUUGCUUCUUUGGGGUUUUGUUCAAUUUCAGAGCAGCUCACGGGAACUGAACCCGUGAAACCAUCAUGUCUAGGCUUUGAAAAAAGAAGAGGGGGGGGGGGUUGCUGUUGUUACAAUUUUUCUUGGGGAAAUUGUUUUGCAAAACUACUGUCACUAUGUAAUGACCUUUGCUUGUUUGGGUUGAGGGGUUGCAUGGUUUGUGCUCAGUCCAGCUUUGCAUGUGUUGGAAAUGUUCGAGUCAGUCUGAUGUAUGGAAUGCCUUAUUAUUUUGUCAUUCAUGUUUUCUAGUUGCCUGCUCCAUCUCUAACCCCCCCCCCCUCUUUUCCUCUCUCUGUAUAUUAAUUUUUUUUGGCACACUUGAUGAUCAAACCUGACUCUUGAUGGAUUGACUUUUGAACCAGGGUAUUACCUUAUUGCUACUAGUGUGACAGAAACAAAGUUGGCUAAUGGCUUUCUUUGUAAAGGUUCUACUAGUGGAUAACGUCAAGAUUGUCUACAUAUAAUAAUAGUUUGCAAGUCACAUUUGUACUUCUAUCAGCAGUAUGGAGCACCUUUGGAGUAUUGUCUUGUGGAGUCUUAUUGUUGCUUCUAUAUAACUUGUGCUGCCCAAUAUUCUGAUCCAACAAUGCGAAGUAAUUUGGAAUAAACCUUAAAUUUUAUGCUGGUUGCAUGUAGAACUGUUAUUCUUAAGAUUCUGGUGCAUUGCAUGGUACAUACACUGCCUGGUCCAUCGGUUCAAAUAUCCUGGCUGUUUACAGUUGUCUCCUCAGGAGCUGAGCUUGAGGAGCUAUCCUCAAACUUUGCAUGAUUUUCAUGUUGACCUUGUUAUUUUAUUCUUUUGAAUUUGUUGAUGUAGGUUUGCACGCAGCGCUCCUGGAAACGGCCGUAUGGUGUUGGUCUGCUGGUAGGCGGUUUAGAUGAAUCUGGAGCUCACCUUUACUACAAUUGCCCUAGCGGUAAUUAUUUUGAAUACCAAGCAUUUGCAAUGGGGUCUCGAUCACAAGCAGCAAAGACAUACAUGGAGCGGAAGUUUGAGACUUUCACGGAGUCCUCACGAGAGAAUCUUGUCAAAGAUGCACUUUUUGCAUUGAGGGAGACCUUGCAAGGAGAAAAGCUGACAAGCUCCAUUUGCACGGUUGCUGUGGUAGGAGUAGGCGAGUCAUUCCACAUAUUGGACAAGGAAACUGUACAAGCACUCAUCAAUGAAUUUGAGAUAGCAGGCGAAGAGGAGGCUCCUGCUAAUGAGGCUGCUCCCCAGGAUCAAGGGGGUGAUGCUCAAGCAGGUGCCGCUGAUCAGGGGCCUACUGAUCAAGGGGUGGCGCCAAUGGAUAUAUGAUGGUAUUUGGGAGGAUGAGAGUUACUCUUUGAUGAAUGAUGGGAUCUGCUCGAGCUGUAGACAAAAAAACAUGUUCUUGUUGGAUAUUUGAUUUUCAUUAUGCGGUCUUUUGGUGCUUCACUAAUGCAAACAUGUUAAACUUUCUUCUCUUAGACCCCAAGCUAAAUUAUUUUCCAGAAUGAGUGUCUGCUUUCUGGUUGGACAUUGCUGCAUUAUGUAUUGCCUUUUAAUAUGUCUUGCUCUAAAGGGAGAGGAGCUUUAGUUAUUUGUGACAAAAAUUCUAUUUUAUUGUCAUAGUUGUUUUCCUUUGAGGAAAAAAUUGGAAUAAAUUAGAUGUGUAUGUAUUAAAAUGAAAAAAAUGACUGCCAUAAAAUAAAACAAAAUAAUUGACAAAAUAAAAUAAAAAGAAUUCCAUAGUUUUUUUUCUUUUAAAAAAAAAAAAAAAAAAAAAAAAGAGUAAACAGCUAACUAGAAAUAACUGAAUGUGGUGGAUCAUUAACACCCCACCAAUGAUAUAACGUUCUGACAAUUUAAGUAUUUACUUUACCUCAUGUUUAUCAAUUUUGUUUGUUACUUCUAACUCGAUAUAUACACAAUACAUUUCUGGUAGAGAGUCAACACUUGGCAUUAGAGUUUGAGUCAUGAUUCAUCUCAAAAGGUCAAGAUUUAUUUUUCGAAAAACAUAUCCAUAUAGGAGCACAAAAAUUAAAAACAUUUUUACAAAGCUUGAUUAAAAGAACCCAGAAAUAUAACAAUAAUUCCAUUCUGAAGCUAAUAAUUCCAAAGAAUUGUAGUAUCUCAAAAGUGUCAUAUUUUGUAUUAAUACAAUCACGUGCAAUGCACGUGAGGCAUUACCAGCGUGUUAAGAAGCGGAAUCAGCAGGUUUUGUCUAGCAUCAUCACUACAGGCAUCCCACUGUUAACAGGAUGUUAAAAGUCCAGAAAGAUUGGUGAGAUGUUCGAAAUUAUUCCUUGCAGGGCUAAGGAAAUAUAUUAUUGUCUUUCAAUUGGACAUCCGCUACCAUUUUAUACAUCUUGUCGGUAUCCAAAUCCAAGUUAAGCUUUCAUGAGUCGGUGGCUCAAGCAAGUACGGUACUCCAACUUUUGGAGUGCCAUCCAGUCACAGAUCAAUAAAUUCAGUUAAAACCAGUACAAACAAGAAACUAAGAUUGCUUAAACAAUGGCAUUAUGCCGUAACAUAGGAUUAAAACUUUCUACAACUUUCCAAUGGAAAGAGUGGUUGAUAAAUCAAAAAAAUAAAAAACAUUAUGAGGGCCUUUCCUUAAACAUGAUGGCCAAGUAAAAGAAUCAUCUAACAGCAAUACCAAUAAUCUUCAACUCCGUUAGGAGUCGGAAUUUGCCGAAUCUGGGACUGGAAGUCCCUUGUUUCGCAUCUGUGUGUACAUCCACUGCCAAUUUUCUCGUGUUACCUCACCCCCGAGAGAACGGAUCACAGACCCACCACUACAUGAGCCUAUUUUGCAACAUUCCUCCAGUGAUAGUCCCUUCAUCAGUCCGUACAAAAAUCCGCCGGCGAAGAGGUCUCCAGCUCCUGUGGCAUCAAUUGCCUCUUUCUUCCCGGUUGCUGGUAGUCGCACAACCUGAAGUUCAUAUGCAUCUCAACCCAUCAAACAGCGAGCAGGAAAAUAUUGAACGGCGAACUAAAUCUUAACUCCCACCACAGAAAUGAAACAGUCCAAAAACACCACAUAUAAUAAUACUGCACGUGUAUAGGCUCAUCAAAUCUUGGAUUUUGUUUUGUUGGUUGUCUUCCAACCACCAAGUUCAUUAUUUGCAACUACUGCCAAAAAUAUAGCGAAGUAAACAACAAAUAUAGCAUAGCAAACAUAUAUUUGUAUCGACAGAUUGGCAUCUUGUAACCAAAGUGGAAAUUGUCAUGUUCAACCAAGAUUAUGAUGCGGAUAAUGAUUGACAUGAAACAAAAACUUGAAAAACUAGUCAGACCAAGGAUUAUUAGCCACUCUAUACGUGGCCAAGCUUAUCCAAGUGAAUAAGUAAAUCACAUACCUCUUUUCCAUUCUUAGCUAUGCAUCCACUUGAACCCAAUGUCACCACAGCCCAUUUGCAGUAUUUUGACAAAAAUUCAAGCGCUGCCUCAUAAUUGGCAUCCUCUUUGGCAUCCUCUUCACCCCUACAAGCACAUCAAGGAGAAACACCAUUGACCUCAAAUUUCACCAACCAUUGCAAGAUUCCAAUGUAGAGCUCUUCAUAAAUGUAAACUACAUAUUUAGUCUGAGGAUCCAAAACAAUAGAUGAGAAAUUUAAGCUACAAUAACCUUAGUAGUUCAAUUGCUUCAUCCUCAUUGGCGAAGCAUAGAUCUAUGUUCCUUGACUCUAGUAACUGCAGAAGUGGUAACCUAAACUGCCGUACCAUCUGCUCAACAGUAAGGUCAGCAGUGAAGUUAGGGGUUGUGGCACUCAUACUUAAAGGUUGUGCUACACUACAGAUCUCAUUAUAAACUGAGUGCUACACCAAAGAAUAUAAACUGAUAUUGGAGGUGGCUUAAUAUAAAAUUUAUUGCUGUCCGACAAGAUAUGACUUCUUUCAGGUGUUCAUUCCUGAUAACAACCCUAAACAAAAAAUGCAUUGAACAGCGGGGGGGAAAAGAUACUCUGUUGGUACAAAAAGUGCUUCAAGUGAAGAAAAAAUAGUACCUCAAAACUGGCUAGAUCCAAGGAAACAGAAAGACCUUCUUCCUUAGCCAUUUGGAUAGCUGCCUGAAUGAUGUCCAAAUUAAAUAUGGCAUAUCUCACGACCAACCACUGUAAAAUAGAAUAACCGAAUUAGGAGUUAUUAAAUGCACUUCGUCAAACACUGCAUUGCAACGGCUAAUAUUCAAAACAAAGUUUGUGGUACUAUUAAUCAUUAGUUCAAAAUGAUGGAAAUAUGAGUUUCAAGAACAUAGAAUUAAAGCAAUUGAGCAAGAACUCCAACUGCAGUCAACAAGCAUUUUGAUUGACAACUGACAUAAUUCUCAUUAUGACGUAGAUGUGUAUUACCUUGGAGCCUCUGAAAUCUUCUUUUUUAAGUUCAUUUGCCUGUCAAAAAUUUAGCAAAAUGAGGACCACGGGCAAAUUCCUCCUCACCAAGCAAAAACCUCUAUAAAUGCCAUAUUACUAGUAUCUAGAUUGAAAACAGCAAGUACCUUAACUUUCACAGCAUCAGAGAGGCAUGGCCUCAUUGUGCGAUUGCCACGUUCAUCAACCAAGCAAACACACUGCAGAAUUAGUAUACAAGAUUUCAGCACUCUGGAAUUUUUUAAGAAAUUUUUAUGCAUUUAAUUAAAUGCACGAUGUAGAUGCAACAAUAAACUCACCUGAGCUGUUGGACCACUCUUCAAUCUCAAUCUGGACAAAUCAACUUUGUAAGAGCUCAUAUUAGUCCUAAACAAUCUGCCUUCUUCAUCAUCACCACAAGCCCCAAUUAUUCCACAAUUUACCCCGAAGCCAGCAGCAAGGCCUCUAAUAGUGUUUGCAACACUGCCUCCAGCCAUGGUUUUCGAAGAAGAUGAAUUGUCAGGAGUGGAAAGAAUAUGGGUGUUUACCUCACUCAAGAUACACUUCAGUUCCGCAGCAGUAACCUGUAUACAGUAGAAAGGGAAAAGAUAGAAGCUUUUACACAGCCGGACAAUUAUAUUGAACAACUCUAAAUAGUUCUCAAACAGCAGUGGGAACAUCCAAGUUUGAUGUUGAAUCACUGGGUUUACAUCCUAGAACAAUAACAGGAAGAAAACCACAAACAAGGGAAGGUUGACACCCAGCCACACAGAAUACAACCAUUGUAUUUAUAUCACCAACUGACAGCAAUAUAUAAUACAAUGGACGAGUCACAGAGACAACCAUCGUAUCCCAACCACAUCUAGUUGAGAUCAAAUAUCUUCCAAGCAAGAACAAUCAAAAGACUACAAAAGCAGCCCGUCUAAUCACGAGAUGCUGUGACCUCAUGGUUUAGAAAUAGACAACAUGUUAAGCACAAUGAAUCCGAACAGUAAAUGAUAUAUAUAUUUUUUGGCUUACGGAAUGGUAUACUCAGUAAAACAGGAAUUACGUGCCUCCAAUUCUCUCUCCCGAAAUGUUCAACAUCAGUGUCUGGUGAGGAUUCUGCUUCUAGUCCAUAGUGACCUUAAUGACUAAUAAACUUAAAAGCCAAGCACUCCUUGGAAACCAAAAGUCCCAUCUAAAGAAUUCACCUGAAUUUCAGCUCCAGUGAUCCAAUUCAGCAAUCUAAGUAAAAUUCAAUCUUUCACUUAAAAAAAAAACAGAGACAUUGUUCGGGCAUGCAUCAAUUCAGUAUUCAAUUAAGUUUAGAAGUGUUUGAAAAGGAGUGAGUGGGAGAGAGAGAGAGAGUACAGGAAAGGAGCCACCAGGCUUGCCGGGGAUUUGAGAAAGGAGGGACAAAUCAACUUUAGCUACGUGGUCAACCAAGGCGGCUGGUUGUAGACCCAACACCAAAGGCGGAGGCCAAGUUGCACUGGUUUCUUUUCCAGUCUUGUUAUAGUCCCUAGGCUGAAAUUCAACACCCAUCUCUUCCUCUUCCUAGAUUUAGGUAAACAGUCGGCCGAUGAAUGAUCCAGAUGAAGCUUCCCUUCCCUUUGGGCGCCUGCACUCUGGGAAUGGGACGUUGGAUCGCCCUCCAGCCUCCUUCCCCGCCUUCUAUCUACUCUGACAUCAUGGUAUUUAUAGACAGGCCCGACUACUGAGAAGCGACCGAACAAAACAAUUAUCAGAUGUUGUAGUGUGUAAUUUUUUUCCCCAUUUCUCUUCAGUUCUAAAUUUUUUGGACUAAUUAAGAGUUACGGUUUUUGUUUUGUUUUGUUUUUGUACUUUUAUCUUUUCCAUCUUAUAACAGAAGAAAUAAAAACAAGAGGUCAUGUAGUAUUGUUUCUUUUGUCUUUUCCCCUCAAUUAUAAUGGCAAAAUUUCGAAUUCAGUACAAAUUGAAGUAAUAGUAGCCCAUAGAAAGAUGCACGUCCUCGAACAACAAGAAUACAAAUUUUCAUCUAUAAUUGUAUACUUUUAUUUUAGAAGUAUCUUGAAUUCAAAGAUUGAUCUGACAUUUCCUCGAAUUUUUUUCACAGUUGAUUACGCUAAAGGAAUAUUCUGACAUCUCUUUUAGAUUUUUUCAUUGCAAGUGAAGUUCUUUUCAUUACAGGUGAGAUUCGAACCCUCAACAUACAAUCCAAAGAAGGACUUAAGUCAUGCUAGCUCAUUCGGAUUAUGUAAUGUGGUUGUACAGAAUAGGGACCUGAUUUGGGCGAAUUACCUAGAAGCCAUGUACUUACUAUAAAGCUAGCAUAAUUAACCUUUGCAAAAGGAUGUGGUGGAACAAUUUUUUUUAUUUUAAUAUUUUACAAAAAAAAAAAACUUCACUUGAUUUGCUGAUUCUUUGUGAAUGAGUAAAAAGCUUUUUAUAUGCUCGUACAUAAUUGUGUUUGUUCACCAAAAUCCACUUUCAACCAAAAGUACCAUUAGAAAAUUUGGUGCUACAUGCCAAGAUUGGACUACUGGAAGCAGCAUAAUCAGGGCUUAUGGACUCCAAUGAUUGCAGAUACUCUUCAUCCACCUUUCAACACUAACUCGGUUCUACAUCUAUUCUUGGUUGGUUAACUACUACAAUGUUGAAUAGGGCAGGGAGGUUUUAGUUAUUCUCAAGAUCUAUCCUAAUCCGGGUUAACCCUUUGUUUGUGCUAGUUGUAAGGAUUCAAAUCAAGAGGAGAUGAUCAGCCCUGCACAAAACAACAGAACUAGCUAGCUAGAGAUCACAUGACCAGAUUCUAACGUAAUAGCCUCUAACGGAGGAUAUGGCCGACAGAGCGGAUGGAUGUAAAAAGCCACCAGCCGUAUACUUCCAUCAGCUACUGCAAUUUUGUGUGGACCAAAGAGAGCAGCCUACAACUUUCUUAAUUUCUUGGACUCAUUUUGUCUUAGAACUUUGUCCAUAGGGAGGGAGGGAGGGAGGGAGGGAGGAGGAAUAAUCGAACCAUAAAUUUUAUUUUUUUAAACGAAAAAAAAAGAAGAAGAAAAGAAGUCAAUAAUAGGAAGACAGGGGGUCCAAUCCAAAUCCACGCAUGCAAGUUCAAUUGGGAAAGAAUCCAGGAGAGCCAAACAAAUAAAAAGAUUCGAAUCAUGCAUGCUUGGAAUGAUUGAGAGGACAAAGGACAAGCCUUUUUGUAUUUUUUUUUAAUACAGUCCAGAAAGCAGCUGAAUUUCCGGGAUGGCUCAUCUUCUUUGCCUCUUCCUGCUCCAGUCGGCCAACACUUUUCAAGAUUCCACUUUAUUAUUCAAACUUUUGGAUAUGCAACAAUUACUGGGAAUAUUUCAGUCGUUCCACAUAAUUAUAAUUUACUUCUGAAAGAAGAAGAAUUACUAGUAGUUUAGUAGUACUUGCCAUUUGUUUCUCCAAUCAUGCUCAGGCUGAUGCACAUGGAUUAGCCAUUAGAUCCUGCUACAGCUAUAGCCUGGCAGGCCGGGUCAUUUUAGCAGCAUUUGGAAUAAAUAAUUUCCAGGCAGCAAUUUGAGGUCCACAAAAAGUAUUCACUACAACCCCCCCUUUUUUCUUUUUAAUCUUCUUUUGGCGUUAAGAAUUAAGAAGAGAUGAGUUUGAGUUGGAACUAAUCAAACAGGUUGACAUACAGCAAAAGAGAUAGUAAUUUCGAAGUAUAACUGAUCCACAUUGUCUGAUAAACUUCUCCAGAACUUAAAAAGGAUCAGAUUGAUCGCUCAAGACUGGGACGUUAGCCCUACAGGAUAUUCAAGAAUAAGGAAAACAAGAGAACGUUAGACAUUACAUACAAUAAAGGGUAUCAGCCAACAAAGGGCGGCUAUUCGUGCAUGUUGCUCCACAACAUUGGUUUCUCUCCGGACAGGAAAAAGGCAUCUCCGGAGAUAAAGAUUAGCUAGCUAAACCAGAAGUUCAGAUGCAAGUGUCGUGAUGCAUAAAUCUACCCUUAAAGAAGUCUUAGUGUUAUUCUGGAAGGAGGUGACCGACCAUUUCCGGAUUAGAUAUUUGCAGAGGAUAGCUUCUACUGACCAUGAAGCCUCGAAGGUCAAGCGAAUAGCUGUAAACAUACUAUCAAACUUAAAAAAGAUCUUACUGGGUGCCCUUUUGUGGUUUAUCUGGUAAGAUGUUAUCUGGAAGAACGAGUUCUGGUGGAGUUUCACGAAUAACUCCUAGCAUUGAAUCAUACUCCUCGUCACGGCGAGAAUACUUCUUGCGAAGAACUUUCUCAAAUUCAAUCUCAUCAAAGGAUUUUGCAUUUUCAGCAGCAUGGACCUGUGCUAGGUUACAGUAAUUGGUUGCAGAUUGGGAAAUAAAGGCUAUCUCUUCAUCACUGAGCUUUCUGAGGAACUUGGCCGGAUUACCUCCCCAGACCUAUGGCAAAUUAACAGAUAUCUCAGACAAAGCUGACAAAGACUAAGACUUAAACGUCAAUGGAACCAUAUUUAGAAAAGAACAGCAUCAACAUUACUUUCGAAAGGAGAACGAACCAAAAAAAGGAGGAAAAGAAAAAGUAAAACCAUUGAGCUCUCCUUUUAAAUUUUGGAAAGAACGGGAAAGAUUAAAAUAAUUGCCUGUCCACUGGGGAUCCUCAUGUUUUGCCUCACAAGGGCACCCGCUGCAACCAUGGCAUGCUUCUCCAAGACUGCUCCAUCAAGAAGCGCAGCUCCCAUACCAACAAAAGCCUCAUCCUCAACAGUACAGCCAUGUAAAACAGCACUAUGACCUGCGUGGAUUCAUUUUGAGUACCAUACCAAAAGUCGGAUAGGACUCUUGUAGGGAAAAGUAGAAGUUUCAAUUUCUGACCAUACAUGAAAGCAGAAUCAUUAAACAGGAUGCUUACCAAUAGUUACAUUAUCUCCAAUGAUGGUAGGAAGCACUUUCCCGCUUAGAUUGGAUUUUGCCACAUGAACAAGGGAGUUAUCCUGUAUAUUAGUUCCAGACCCAACAGUGAUGCUGUUAACAUCACCUGCAGAUAAAAAGAUGGAUCCAGAUGAAGGUUAGUGACAGAUAAUAGCAUUCUCUUCCUCUUUCUUGUCUCCUUUCUUUGGAAGUUAAGGGUGUAGAGGAAAAUUCUUGAACCAAUUUUGCAUGUUAAAUUUCAGAUGAAAAGGCUGGUCAUAAGUUCCCUUAAAUGUUAUCAUCUUGUAUUCUCAAACCCCGCGCCCCCGCCCCCCUUUUCUUUUCUUUGGAGUCGCAUGGGCAGCAGAAGUAUGCAAUCCCACAGUGAGGGUAGCCUAUGUUCCUAUCAAAACUUAAGCAGGCAGCAACAUAAUUUCUGAAUGACAAAUACCUUCAAGAACUAAUCACCUCCACAAAUUCAAAAUGAGAUUCCACAGGUCAGAGAGAGAGCAGGCAAAAUGGUACACUAGUGGGGUGAAGAAGUGAAUGCAACUGGAAAGGAAAACAAUCAUUUACACGCAAAAAAAGUACUGCCUGAAUGGGUAUUACUUUGGAAAAUCUGGAAGUGGCAUAAAAGAAUGACAUACAAGAAUGAUCACGAUGAAUACAAAGGAGGGUACUUAAAAACAUCUCUUUUUCUCUCUCUGGGCUUAGAAAAUUGCAUCCUAAAUUUUCAGACAAUGAUGUGCAAAGCUGCAGCAGCCUUUUUACCCUCCUUGAAGGUUAUUAAUCAUUUUGAUAUCUUUUUAUUUUCUUUUCACACAAAGACCCUUAAGGACAUGAAAACAAGCGUAAUGCAUCUGAUCUUUCAAGAAUAUGUAGAUUUAGUUUCCCAUGCAACAAGUAACAAAUUCUCGUUGCAUUCUGAUGGUAUCAGAGCUCUACAACUUAAAGAAUACCAAAAUCGUUCAAAAGGAAUAUCAUAAGCAAAUACUAUAUACUUUAACAACUUUCUUAAGCAUCUGACUGAAGAUAAAAUGCAGCAAUAUUUCAAAAUUGAAUCUCCUUGUACAACAUCAGGCAAACUUCAGAUGUCUACUUUCUUUUUUUACCAUUAAUUAUUUUUUUUUGGGGGCAUGUCUGCUUUCUUCUUUUAACUGAAGGGCUAUAAAAUUUUGCUCUCAUAUUACUGAGCAGCAAAAAAUUUAGUCAUAACCAAUUGAAAAAAUUAAGAGAAACAAAAAUCAUGAAGAGGGACCAUAUGCCGCAUGCAGAAGUUACAUUCGAACUCUUCUUUGGUGUUAAAGUAAUAGCUAUGAAUAGUCAUUGACUAGGCAACAAAAUGACUGAAAAACUGCUGUUGAACAUCCUCCAGGCAUGUAACAGUCUGAAUUGCUAUGGAUAUAAACAUAAUUUCUGAGUGAAGCACUGACCUCUCAGAACACAUCCAUACCAAAUAGAUGACCCUCUUCCCACUUGAACAUCCCCAAUGAUGGAGGCACUUGGGGCUACAAAGGCUUCCUUAUCAACCAGAGGAGCUUUAUCGAAUAUGUUCAUCAAUGUACGGUGUCUAGACACUAAAGAACAAACAAGCAAGUAAAAAUGCAGAAAAAAGCAAAACACAGCUCAUAAGAGAAUUGGCUAAUUGACAUUUAGGGAUGGGAUAAGGCAAUAACUAAGCGAAAACUGGGCACAGAAGUGCAUUGAAUGAAAUCUGAAUCAACAGGCUUAAAAUGUGCUUUGGUUCAGAACGCUAGCAGCCAGGAUACAUAUAAGUUGCCCUACGAGGGGCCUUAAGGUUACAGUCAUCCUUAAAAAGUGCAAUUAUAGGGUCAGGAGGUAUUGGCACGACAAAGAAAAUAAGAUGAAAAAGUAUAGAUAGCAAAAUCUGAAGCAACAAGCAUAUAUCUUCAUCAAAGAAAAAACUAAAGGUCUAAAAUCGAUCCAAAUGCAGAAUGAAAAUUUCUAGCAUGAGUUCCUAACAUGACCAUGUACUUGAAACUACAGCAAGAGGUUCAACCAAAACAUUUCAUACUAAUUAAACUUAGUAUUGCACAUUUCUAUAACUUCUUUCCUCGCAUUUCCUCGUUAAAUCAUUAGAGAAAUGGUUUGAACUUAAUAUCCCACAUAUGUAUAUUAUGACACACAUAAACCAUGAGGCCAUCUGACUCAUUUGAUGGGGUGAUCCAUAAAAUAGAAUCGCUUCGUUCUUUUUUUUUUUUUUUUGUUUUUUGGUCACUCACCAGCAAAGAAUUACAUAAUUCGCUCCCCACUAAGCCGUCCUAGCAAGAUCCUAUUGCCAGUUAAUUUGAGCAAGAUUAAAACUUUACCGGAAAAAAAUUGACAAAUAGCUCAAUUAGCCCAACAAUCUGAAGAUAAAAGAGAAAAAGAAAUUAAGAUGGGCGUCAACAUUUGUCACCAUUCGUACCAAAAGAAAGAAAAAAGAAAAAGCUGUGGACGCAAGUAUGUUAAAGGUGAGAAUGAGGUGGGCGCAACCUACAUUGUUCUUGGAAAUAAUAAUUUCCUUGGAGACGGCAGCCAAGGCGAUCGAGGGCUUGACCCGUCUCUCUGAUCCAAAACCCAACUGUAUACACUGCUCUUCCCAGAGUUCCCAUGACGAUGAUGACUCAGGAUUGAUAAUCGAUCAGCUCCUCCAGUAGAGGUGUUUUAUGGGGUUUUUCAGCUAAGAGGGUGAGUCAGGGUUUUAGCCGUUUGGAUAGGAACUUGAAGGGCAUCUUUGGUAACUGGCAUGCAUAGCACACCUACUCUUUUUUAUUUGAUGGAGUCACAUCUCUCCUCUAAUUUGUUCUGUUAAUUGCAAAAUAGGCUCUUGCACUUUCAUGUCCUGCAUUGCUGCUAUUACAUGACACGGCCUUUCUUUUCCCUUUUUUCUUGAUAAUCAUUUCAAUAAGGUAAGCAUUCAAGUACCUCUAAUCUAAAGCAUUCUGAUCACACUUUGUUUUGAUUGCUGCUUAUUAAUAGCUUGUUGGGACGUGCUUAGCAAUCCAUUUUAGACUUUUGAAAUUUUAGGUGAACCUUUUUACGAAAAUCCCAUCAAAAAAAGAAGAAGAAAACUGUUUCCCAUAAUUGAGAUUUUGGGGAUAUAUUUCAAAAUGGAACGCAACAAAUUUACUUGAAGUGCAAGAUGGAUGCACAUUCAACAAUUUCACCGUUUAGGUCCAGUCUGGUUGGAAUUUGGAAUUGAAUACUCGGGAGUCGGAGGCAUGUAAUUUUUGUUCUUGCAGCCUUUGGAAGUGCCAAGAAAAACUGGAAUUGUACCAAGGAAAUGAAGAGAUUUCAAUACUGUUUCCCCUGGCUGAAGUGGUACAAACUUAAACACUCUGAUAUCAUACAGAUAUGUUACGCUUAAUUAUGCUACCUUCACUUGAUGAACACAUAAUAAGAGAGUGAGCUAUGAAGCGUUGAUUGAACUCCUUCAACGUGUAUUUCUACUGUUUUUGUAUAAAAAACAUAAUCCGAAUCACCUGCUUUUGUCAGUUGAUCCAUGUAAGAUCAAGGUACAUAAAAGCUUCGAAUGGAAGAAGCGUAUGGCGAUGGUAAAUUCUCAGUCACACCAACAGCAAAGUGGCACAAUGACUUUUAAAGGGUGUUCUAAUAUUUGUCUUGGAUAGUUCAUCUCCUCAUCGACUCCUGAGGCGGCUUGGAACGGUUGCCGCUACUGCGAUAUAUGCCUUGCGGGUUUCUUGCGUUGAAGGAUUCUACACUGUUGAUAUCCUGAAUUUGUUGACUGGAUUUCUAUCCCCUAAGGCUGGAAGCUUUAGAUGGUGUUCCGUUGCCAGCUAAGGUGUCCGAUGAAUUUAGGCCUUUUUUUCGGUGUCUUCCUGGAUUCAGAUUCUGGUGAGAGUAUCUCCUCUGCCACAAAUUCACAAGAUCUAGGAAGAAGUUAUCAACGUUCAGCAGAUAACAUAAUCUUGUAAAGGGGUCAGGGCUGCAAAACCAACAUGUCAAAUACAGAGGUGCUGUAAAGGGAUCGACAUAUGCUGAUCGAUUGUUGAGUUACAGAUUCUUUCCAGUUUGACCUUUACCGCGAUUAAUGAAUAGUACUGCUGUUUAGAACCUGUUCAAUCAACGUCAAUUUUUUGGUUCUCUCUCGAGCUGUUUCAAUUUUAUUUUUAUUAAUCAAACCUUUUGACAUAUAUUCUACUUCUAGAUGUGACAACUUGGCAUUCAUUAUUUGUUCAAGCGGUGACUUUUUGAUCAGCAUACUCUUCCUAGUAUUCGUUAGUAGAACCUUCAUCCUCAGUUCAUCCAAACAAGUACAAGAAAAACGGAGUAAACCGUUGCAUAAGAACAUCUCAUCAGACGGAGAAAGUGACUCGUUACCCUUUUCAGCACUGAGGAUUAAAUAUGCUUCUCAUGAUACUCAUCAAAUAUUGCUAGUUUGUUCUUCGGAUAUGAAGAGGAUUCUGUGGAUGUUUGGGAGAAGGUCUGCGUUCUCUAGAGUCCUCUGUACAGCGAAGCAAUACCAAUGUCCAGGCUUUGAGCAUUUCAUUAGUCCUUGACUCGAGUUCAACAAGACAUGCCAGAUCGAUUGUUAAUGAUAAAAGAUUUUUAUUGGUGCAACAAACCUCCAACAACUCAACACCAGAAGGCACAAGGUCAUUAUCAAAUAUCAUCCCAAUAUCUGACUUUCUAUCCAUGACAUCAUAGUACAAAUAAUAGUGUAUACCAAACUGCAUAGUGGGUUAGAAUCUUCAAACAUCACUUGCUAAUUGUUUCUUAAACAUGGCCAGCUAAAGUGACAAAAAGUCUCCUCCUACCACCCCCCCCAACCCUGGAUAAAAGCCUUCAGAAGACUUGAUCAAAUAUGUAUCACUCAAGUUUCUCCAACAAAUGAGUGGGAGAACUUUUGUCUUGAUUUUGUUCUUCUGGGCAGUACUCACCAUUGUCACCCCUAUGCUUGUUCGCUUGUCCGCUUCUGCCAAACCCCACAUUGAAUUCAAGGCCAAGGGUAAGAAAACCAAGAGAUGUUUGUUGCUCAUGUAAUUUUUACACCUUCAAAUUUCAUUUCCAAAUUCUUGUUUUUCAGAAGUAAUAUUUGGUUCCGGGAAGAAAGUAAUUUUUGGUUUUUCAGAAGUAGUACUCUACUGAGGUCAAUGUCAAUUUGCUGCAAGUCUGAAACAAGUGAAACAAUUAGUGCUAGGCCUUGAAACAAGUGAAAAAUGGAGCAUGAUAUUUGGCUUUGGUUUACUUUCUUGUAGGGGAAACACGGGAAGAGAUGUACACUAGGAGGGUUUUGGAGAUGUUGCCUAGAAGAGCACUUGUUCCUACAAUGAUGCACAAGGCUCCAUUGGCACCAGAGCCACCAGCUUCCGCACCAGCACCAGAACCAGAACCAGAACCAGAACCAGAACCAUCAUUAGUAGUCAAUGGCCUAGAACUUUUUGUAGACGGGGAUAAAUUGAUAAGCCAUAAAGCACAUGAGCUGCUGCUCAGAUGAAUUUGGUCCGGAUUAUCGAGCAAACCAUCAUGAGACAAGUGUUAAUUUUUAUUGAGAAGGUGGUUGGGCGCGAUUGUAAAUAGAAUGUUGGUAGGUUAUUCUACCAUAGAACUUUUUUUUUUUUUUUUUGUAUUCUUUUUUUUCCCCUUCCCUUGUGGUUAUUCUCAACAAUAAAAAGCACAGAUAGCAAAGUAUUUAAAUUUACAGACUUCUAUUAACAGGUUAAUUUCGAGCUCAAGGGCAAUAAGAGUGGAAAAUUGAGGAAGAAAUGCAACGUGUUUAUAUAUAUGAAGAAAGGAGUAUAUACAUAUUACACAUAGUUCAGUCUAUAUUAAUUCCAAGAUGUCAUCAUUUUCUUUAAUCUUCUUCUUUCUUCUUUCUAACUCACCGUUUGGAUUAGCUAUUUUUUGGGGUGUUUUUGAAAAAUUUUGUUGUAGCAAAUUUUUUAAUUAUAUUUUGAGAUAUUUUUAGAAAAUAUUUUGAAAUAUUUAAGAGUAGAAGGGUUUCUAAAAUAUAUUUUGAGAUAUUUUUUAAAAUUUUAAAAAAAUUUAAACUAAUUUUUAGAUUACCUUUAGAGUAUUUUUUAAAAAAUUUUAUUGUAUUUGAAAAACAUUCCCAUUCAAACUGGUUUUUUUUUUUUUUUUUUUCCAUCCAUUGGCUUUUGCAUUGGCGAUGGAUAUGGUAAAUAUACUCUGUUCUUAAAUUAAAAAAAAAAAAUUCUAGAUGGGCUCCAGUAUUGGGCUGAAAUCGUACUAAAAAUACCAAUCUAGAUUCUUUAAGUUGCAAGGGCCACAUGUGUGGCGUCCGCGGUGUGAACAAUGAGAACGGGGUCCUCCUUGUCCAAUUGGAGAAGUUAAAGUAAAUUUUUGUGUUUGGUUGUCCGGAAAAUUGUUUGGAUACUGUUAGGAAUCUGUUGCAAAUAACCCCCCAGCCCCAAAAGGCCCAUCUUCUUUAUCAUGUUUGGAUACUGUUAAAAAUCUUGACACGAAAAAUUAUGUAACGUCAGAUUGCCAUAAACAUUCCUGCGAGCAUAAUGUGGAAUUGUUAUUGUGAACCCCUUGUUUACAUAAUAAUGGAUGAAACACACCGUGCUUUAGUUCAAUGGGGACGUAUUUGAGAUUAUAAAUAAACUUCCAUUAAAGGUUGCUUAGCCAAGUUUUGCUGAUGACAUCAUUACUGUCUCUGAAUAAAGAAACAUGCCAAGAGUGAAAUUCAAGCAUCCCCAAUUGAACGACCACCAUGCACAAUCAUCACAGGCUUGGGUUUAAAGCAUAAUUAUGCACCUGCCACUCGACAACAGACGUCAAACUCUUAGUUCACCACAACAGCAAUGGCACAGUUAUGAUUGUGUAUUGUCAAAGCUAGGGGUGCACAUAACUCAAGCCGCUUGUGAGUAUCUUGAGUCGGAGGUCGAGCUCGAAUUCAAAGACAUUUCACUCAUUAACUCGUGAACCUACUCGAUUAUAUAUAUAUAUAUAUAUAUAUAUGUGUGUGUGUGUGUAUAUGCAAUGGCAUAGUUAUAAUUGAAUAUUAUCAAAGUUAGGAGUUCAUACAACAUGAACCGCUCGUGAGUAGUUUGAGUCAGAGGUUGAAUUCGAGUUCAAAGAUAUUCCGCUAGUUUAUUCGUGAACCAAUAGUGACAUUACAUAUAUAUUUUUAAUAUUUUUUUAUUUAUUAAAAAAAAUUACUAUUUUAUUCAUUUUUUUAAAAAAUAAAAUAAUUAUUAUUUUUUAAUUUUUUUAAGCUCGAACUCGGGUUUUACAUUGAGAGUUUGUCAAAUUCGAGUUCGAGUUUGAUAAAAUUAAGCAGAGAAUCGAUUUGAUUAGGGCAAAGCUCCUCUGUUUUGCAACCCUAGUCAAAGCCUAUUCUUUCAAUAGUCGCAUUAGUGUUGUAUUUACUGCCAUGUCAAUUACAUUGGCCAAUAAUCCCACAAAGAGUCAGAAGUUAUUAGCAGCAAUUCACAAGAUUGAAUUAUAAAAUGAGUUGCAAAGUGCUAUGGCAAAAGCAUUGUAGAAAGUGGAAAACGACUCGUUUCAUUACUACCUCAUCAUUCCCACAAAGGGGCAGAGAAUGUACAACACUAAUAUAGAUAACACUCCUCAUAUAUUUGAAACAUGAGCUAAAAAUAUGAAGUAAAACCAAAUGUAGCAGAAGUAUUUAACAAAGAUCAUUACAAGACAUUCAACACAAAGGCUUUGACAAAGUUUAUCAGCCAAGGCAAUGACCAUAUUAGAAGACCGAUGAACUUCUCAGACGAAUCGAUCAAGGUACUCCUCGACAGUGGUGUACUUGACAUCAGAAUAGAGCUCUGAAGCCUCUACACCAAAAGAUGGCUCAAUUGUAAAGUUGGUACUAUCACCGUUAACCAGAAUUGAAUGGCGGAUUGAUAAUGCGACAUUGAGUGGAGUUGGAGCCUCUGCAAAGAAAUGGUCCAUCAGAAAUUUAUACGCUAAUAAUUCAUACAACUAGAAGACAUAAAUGCGCUUCGCGCGAUGGAAAUGUAAAAUGCCCUGUCCACUUUUGUAUACAUGCAAAAUAAAAUAUAUGAAGUAAUAAAAAUUGUAAUUUAUGCAGAAAAAGUAUGCGAAUUAUUAAUAAAAUUUAGAAGGAAUGGAUCCUUAAACAGGUAGUCUAUGGAGUUAAACCGGUAGUCCAUGGAGUUAUGUCUGUUCCAUGCUUUGUUUUGCAUAUGAAAACCAUUUGCAAGAGAAAUGGCAAUAAAUUGUAUCUACGCUCAAGUACGACAUCAUAGCCAUUUCUUUGGUCUCCCUACCCCACUUACCUUCAUCUUUCCUAGUAGAAAACCAAGGCAGCCAUUCAAUUAAUUCAUUCUUGUGGAGAUUAUACACCAUCCACAUUUGUAUAUGGAACUUUGUUUCCGAAAAUACUCUACAAAGACGAAAACAACGCUUCUGUAAACCACAUUGUUAUAUCAAAGAACUUCCAAAUUGCUCAUCCAUAGAAGCUACGACAUAUCCCGCGUAGAAAACACACACUCAAGUCAGGGGCAACAAAAUUGACAUUGCACGUAAACAAAAAUUGUUGGAAACAGGUACCGCAUCAUCAUUUUGUCAACAUUACUUUCAUUAAACACAAAACUCAAUGGCCAAUGCCUCUAUUAAUAUUACAAAAAUACCAAAUCCGCACUAAUUUGAAGGCUAUGAGGGGAAAAACAGAUUUUCUAGUCUUCAAUUGUUUAAGCGAUAAACAAAUAGAGAGAACUCCAACAUAGUACAAACUUAGUAACCCCCUUUGAGAUCAUUGACCACAUUUUAUGGAAUUGGAGUUACAGUCUCCAAAGUUGCACCUUCUACCAUGAAACCUGGUUUGGGCCCUUCAGGUUGCCUCUUAGUAUUGUUGACCUCACCUCUUGCCUUUGCUGCAGCCUUCAAUUCAUCAUUUUUUCUGUUCUAUACUUGAUUUCCUCAUUGCAUCGAGAAGGCUGAACAUACUCUACGCGAACAUGAAUCCUCUUCCUGAUAAUCAUAUUAUCAACCUGCAGGUAAAAUUUGUGGAAGCAAAGAUUAGCUUGCUUUCAAGAUAAUGGAAUAUAAAGUAACAAUGUCAUGAUGUUGUGGAACAGGACCAUAGAAGAUAGAUGAAUAGAAUAAUUAACAUGCAAUUCUUGAUGCAUAAGGUCCAAAAGAAACCAUACCAGUAACAAAAUAACAAAGUUAGGCUGGAUCUGUGUUGCUGGAUCUUCAUGAUCAUGUCCGUCAUCUUCACUCUCAUCUUCUUCAUCCUUCCUCUUUUUAUUAAGUUUCCCAUUCUGAUCUCUGUUACCUGUAUUCUGAUGCCCGUGACAGACAUCUCUAUUUCCCUGAACAGCCUUGUCUUCAUAAGUAGACUUCCCUUGUUUCUUGGUAUCAAACUUCUUUUUCCUGAUAACAUGUUGCCAAAUAUUCCUCAGCUCCUUAAUUCGAACAAGUUUCACCAAAGUCACAUGCACCAUGCAUGACCCAUUUUAUUACAAGCUUGGGAUCACUGUUUGCUGAUAACACUGGCAGAAUUCAAGGAAGUAUUCAUAUGGAAUGAUCAAAGGGUUUCUAUAACAUAAUGCCCAAACACUCAAUAUGCAUAUAUUUUGAAAGACAAAAUAGUAAAACGUUCUUACUUUACGCAUUUGAGCAAAUAAUGCCAAAACAAUGCAGAUAAGUAAAAUGACAUGCUUCCUGUUCCCAAAUGCACUCCAGAAAGGAGUAAUCAUAACAUUCUCGAAUGACAUAGAAGAGAAAGUUUGUUUGCUUACUCAUGACAGGAAGGUCCAUUUCAAGUCCAACAAGCUCCAAAAGCUUAUAGCCAUCCAUGUCAGGCAUAUGAACAUCCCUAAGUACUAAGUCAAAUCGGUCCUUAUUUUCCCUCAACAUCUUCAACACGGCUUGCUGGGUAUUUUGAGUACUGUAAGUUGAAUGAGACUGAAGAAAAGAAAGAAAAACAUAAAUGCUUGUACUAAAGUGAGCACUGUCAUCAUGAAGUUGAAGACACUUCAAAUUCAGUGUGGAAAAAGUACCUGAUACAGCCUUUUUUUGUUGUUUCCAUCCCACACACUAACAUAACCAUCACAAUCCCCAGUAGCAAAUGUACCAUAGCUGCAUAUUUAAAUCAGUUUUGAGAUAGAUUACGGGAAGAGGCUAAAGAUAUUCAAUCAAUAGAAAAUUGUAAUAGAUCCAACUCAAUCAUUCAACAUAAAAUAAAUCAAGAAAAGAUAGCUCCACUAGUGAAAUAUCUUAGCAUUGAUUUUCUUUCUUAACAAAACUUGAAAAAAAAAAAACAAAAAGGCCAUACAAGCCAACUUCCAAUGAAUGACUGCUGAACAAUAAUCUCUUUAUUGUGGAUAAAUGUAUAUGCAGCACUUAUAUGAGAUGAAAUGCAAUUGAAUUCAAUGGGGUAGACAAUGUCCCUUCCAGCUCCAGAUUUUCGAUGACACUUGAAUGCAUACCUACACAUAUAAACCAUCAUAUAGUAGACAAUUAUCAAGGUCUGCCUGUUUCAUUCUUGUUGAAUUCUUGAUAUAAGAAAUUUACUCAUCUUAUUCAAUAGCCAACAGAAGUUUUAAUCCACCAGAUCAUAAGGAAUUACACACAUGUCAAUAUCAUUGCACCAUGUUUAGUUCUCUAACAAGUAAUUUUAAGGUGAGAUGCAAGCAAGUAAUAGUACAAAAAAUUGGAUAAGAGCCUCUAUGAAGAGCUAACAAAUUGAGGAGGACCGAACAUAAGAAUGGUAUUGGUAAGGUACCAUAAUAGCUUAGUUCCUCAUUUCUCUCCUCUAUAUUACUCUUCGAAGCAAAGUUGCCAUAACAGUAAAACUUAUGCAGACACACAAACUAAGAUUGAUCAUACCCUUUAUACUACUCCAAAACCGCCGCCUCCUAUUCUAGUUUGAGGAGAGAAAGUGUCCUGUUGCUGACCUCAAAGAGUUGUAUGAGAAUAGCCUGACAUUGCUGGUAGCAAGCUCUAACCAUGCAGAAGCAGAUAGAAAACCAGAGAAUCAGAAGUGAUCAUAUACAAAAUCAUGGAAAAGAGUUGUAGAUUAGUAUAUGCACUAUUCAGAUGAAACCAUAACACCCAUCCUAAAAUAUGCAGCAUAAAUCUCACAAAAAAAAUUCAGGUUCUUAUAUCUUUGAACUGAAACUGUUAUCUAAGUUGUGAGCAGCUAAAGGCACUUAUGUCCCGCUUAGAUUAAGCUCAAACUGAAACCUGACUUUGGAGCUUUUUCUGAUGUUAACUUUUUCUGAACCAAACAACUCUAAACUGGGUAACAUAGCUACCUUAAGAAUACAUGGAUCGGCUCCACUUAUCAAGUUAGAAAAAACAGAUGUUUCCUAAGGACGCAUAGUUAUGAUGAGAAGCUUGAAGGUUGUGCUUGCCUGGGGAAUAUCUAGAGUUGAAAAUUGGAAAUCGGGAAACAUAAAUUCAGGUUCAAUUGCUAAUUGUAAACUGUUAAAGUUUUGAGCAUGAUAUUAACAGCCUAAUUUGUAGUUCAAGUUUGGAGACAUUUGCUUUAGCAGAUGAUAACUAACAAAAAAUUUCAUGGCAAAUCCCUUUUCACUCAUUAAUACCUCUCAUUUUCAUGCGUACAACACGCAAAUCCCUCAAGAAAACAGAAAUGGCUUAUAGAGUAUUUCACUUUCAACAAGAAUGUUAAAUCCAAUCAACAAAAUUAUCACCAUGCUCAAAUUUAGCAAUAAUUGGGAAAAACCUCCAUUCAAGCCUAAACUAAAAAUUGAAAUAUUCUUGGUUCUUACCUCAUGGCACAUGUGCUUUAUUCGUCCCUUGCAAGAACCAGAUGCACUGAAACAGCUACUAAACCCCAUCUCUCCUUUUACGCAUCUGAUGACAAGACCCCACCAAGAAAAAUCUUACAAUCGUUGAUGCACCUGCUUCAAAUCCAGACCCAUUACCUCGUAAGAUAAGACAACAGAGUAUGAAAAACCGAUUGAGGAAAAAAAAAGGCAAACCUUUAUCCAACUUCCCGCAGGUUGUUUUGGACGGCAGAUGAGGAUUAUACUCGAAUUCGAGUGCCGGUGAAUAAAGAAGUAAACUGUAUGUAGUAAGAUGGGAUAGGGAGAGGAAAGGGCAGGGAAGGGAGAGGAAGUGUGAGGAAGAGCGGCGAGGAUGAAAGGCGGGUCAGCUUAGGGUUAGGAAAAAGGGAAAAGGAAGAUGCUUUAAUUGAUCUCUUUCUCUGUUUCCUCCAAGCAAGGAUGGUCUGGAGAUCUGGAGGAGUUGAGCCUAUAAAGGGUGAGGGUCUGGGUCCGGAGGGUCUGGAGAUCUAGGGAGGAAAGGCAGUGAGAGAUGCCGAUGAUGGCGAGGAUCUUGCUACGGAAUUGAAAGGCCUCUCAAAGGCUGAGAGAUAAACGAGAGGAAGAAGGUGCGGCGGUGGAGGAGAAAUGGUAUAAAAAAAAAGGGAACAGCGAGGUUGAACUUGAAGCAGAAGGAGGCGAAAGGGGAAUCCCAGGGCCAGUGGGAGAAAGCGGACCUCUGAUGCUAGGUAGAAAAGGAGGCGAUAGAGGAGAGGGAGACAGUGCGCCGGCGGAGGAGGAGGAGGAGCGAAUGGACAAAGUAUGAGGAUGUACGUAACCCUAGAGGAAAAGGGAGAGAAAUUGAGAGGACAGAGGAACAUUGUUGUGGAAAGAAGAGAAAGAUAAAAGAGGAAAACAAAUGACAGAAGAAAGAGAGAGAGAGCAGCUGCAGAGAGAAGGCAGCGGGAAGAAAGAAUGCAGCAGAAGCACAUGAGAUACUGGCAGCGAGGCCAGGUGGGAAGCUAACGCGCGAGGCGCGAAGGACUAAAUGCUUCUAAUCCACAUGCCGGGCACGUGAGAGGACGACGAAAGUUUUGGCUGAAUUCUGUUGGGACGUUAUCUACUUAUGUUGAUAAGGUUUGCUAAGAAGAAUGAGGAAAUUGAAAUCAAACUUCUUAUCACCUUGGAUGUUCUUCAGGACUUGUUCCUCAGGAAUAUAUUCCUUCUCCAAAGUUUUACCAAUCUUCUUCUCCCAUAUGGCCACUAACUCAUUAAAUGACACAAUAUUCUUAGGGGGCAUAAUGUAGACAACUUUGUUCAAUGUUCUUGGAUCAUGGACAGUUUUGAUGGUGAAGGUGCCAAUGUCAUGUUCUUCAUUGUAAACCGCUGCAAUUGAAACAUUAGAAAAAAAACAUAUACAUGAAGCACCGACACAAUAUUCACGUUCUUACAGGAUAAUAACUUGGGCAGAGGAUAAGAACAUGAUCAGGUGAAGUAGGUGAAAAAGAAUAGCCGAGUGAUAUUGUAUGCCAUACCUUUGGCAUUUCCAUCUCCCCAGAUAGCAACUUUAUCUCGUGGUGGAGCAGUGGCUCCUGGCUGUACCAAGGUUCGAAGAAAAUAUCCAGCAAAAGCGUUAGAUACGAGAGGGGUGUAAGGGAUCCCUGCGGCCUCAGUGGCUCUACGAAUCCGAGAUUUAACUGCAAAUACAGACUUGCCAGGCUCAACUGCAUUUUGGCGAUCCACAUCAAUUCCAAACUCUGAAGGGUAGAAUUUCUGAGAAUUUCGCCAUAUCAUGUGUCAGAAUUUGGGGAUGACAGUUGAUAAACUUGCACAAAUCAUACUCCAGUAAAAUUUCAUUCCAAUCUGCAAUCUUUUCGUUGAAUUCACAGAUUGUCAAGAUCACAAUGGUUUCUCACGAUGACUAAAACAUCCUCAAUGAAUUGACCAAUUAAUCUUAGUCGCUUCUCCACUCUGAAAAUGGGAAGUACCAUAUAGAUGAGUCACAUGCAUUAUCAAGUUCUACGAACGACACAUAGAACCCUCAAAUACAUGAAUUUCAUGUGCAUUAUCAAAAUUUAAUAUAUUUCAACAACUAAAACCUUUGAUUAUCAAUAUUGCAGCGCCACAAAAUCUGCAGUGAGCAUUCCUGAGGAAAAUUGUGCUAGAGCUCAUUAGCAGUUACAGCAUACAUGUAGCAGUGUAGUGAAAGCAAUGACAGAAUAAUCCAAGAAAAAAAAUAAAAGUAAUCAAUACAUUCUCCUAUGAGAAUCAUUAGUAACAAGACCACAUAAACAACACACCUUGACAUUUCCAGCUUCUUUAAUUGCGUCAAUGAUCUUCCCCUGAUCAUUCAAUUGACCGAAACCAACAGUUGAUAUGACCACAUCCACCUGCUUUAUGGCUUUCACUAAACUUUCAUGAUCAUACAGGUCACCCUGCUCCAAGGAAGAAUUCCAAUAUCAAGGACAAAAAUAUACAUCACCAGCUAAAAGGGGGAAAAAAUACUAAUAAUAAAGGAAUCCCAAGUGACGAUACUCUCUUGGAAAAAAUUAACGCUGCUUACAUGAACCAGAGUAGCACCGGAGUUCUUGAAGCCUUGAGCAAGUUUUCCCUUGACAGGAUCAGAAACGGUAGAUUCUCUAACCAGAACAAAGGUGGGAUGCCCAGCCUUAAUGCUUGCCUCAACUAUAAACUUGCCAAUGUAUCCCGUUCCACCAAUGACCAAAAUCUUGCUUUUUUCUGCCAUUCUUGAAUAUUCGGAGGUAUCUAAAAAUGAAGGGUUGUGGAGAGUUUUUUAACUGAUGCAGCAGAGCAGGGAAAGAAUGGAGUGUUGGGACGUUGGCACACUGAGGAACUCUAUUUAAACAGUUUGAGGAUUGGUUUGGGAGUUAUUAGAAAAGACCUUUACGUCACUAGAAGCGAAGGAAUCGAUUGAGUUGUAUUUGGUCGAUGAAAACGGUCAGGUACAUCUUCUAGGUGACCAGUGAAAAUAUCUUAUUAGCUAAUCUUAGGAUAAAUGACAUAUAACUCUCUCGUGAUUUUACGUAAUGUCAUAUGAAUUUUUUAAAAUUUUAAAAUAACCACAUAAUUCACCUACAUUUUAUGUAAAAUGAAAAUCCGAUGGAAUAUAUGGACGUUAAUGAAACUAAAUAUCCAUUUAUCGAGAAAAAAAAUAAAUAGGAAUAAAUUUGAUAAGAGUUAAAUUUUUUUUAUAAUAAUAAUAAUAUUUUUAUAAUAAUAAAUUUGAUUAUUUUGCUUUGAGCUCGACUUAUUAAUUUAACACGUGGGAUAUUUUAUAACCAUAUCAUUUCCUUGAUGCUAGAAAUGCGACUUAUAAAGAAAUUCUUUGUCUAAAUUUAUGUCAAAUACGACUUGGAAAUAAAUCCUGAGUCUGAUUUGAAAACAAGCUCGACUUUGUUAACACAUGAUGAAUUGAGCUUAAAUGCGCUCGAACUUGAAAAAACUCAAAUGAAUUCCAAUAUACUAUAGGAAAUUGUGACUCGACAAAUUUAACCAAUUUAAUCAACUUACUAAACAAAAAUAAUUCCACAAAAUAUAAGAAGGUGUCCAAACACUUUUCAUAAAACAAUUUUUAAACAAUCAAGACAAGUUUAAUGCACGUAAUCAUUAAAAAAAAAAAAAGAAGACAUAUUAGCUCCGCUGAAUAUAUAAAUGAUCCUAAAUGAGUUUAAAUCAGCUAUGCACGAGCCGGAUUUAUUAAAUGAGCUUAAUUUUAUGUUUGAACUAGACUUGUUCACUUAAAGGAACCAGUCAAGCUCAAACUAAUAUAAGUUACGUCGAGCUACACUUGAGAAUAGUUUGAGCUCUAUAAUAAUAUUAUGUUCUUCUUUUUUCUUUUUUGUAAUUAAUUAGUUUUUUUUUUUUUGAAAUAUUAGUUUAAAAAGGGCGUGUUUGCGAGGGAAGAGGUGAGUGUUUAUCUGUUAAAAUGUGUAUUUUAGCAUACGUAGAUGGAUUUGUUUUUCUUUUUGUGAGGGAGAGUGAGAAGAGUAUGCGCGUACAUCAGAAACAUUGUGCUAACGGUAGAAGAAGAGCGCACUUCUUUUUUUCUCAUGUAUUUAAUUUUUGUAGUAUAUACCUGGAAACUUCAUUUUUGAAGUAUAGGCAGAAAGGUUUGGUACUGUGGUAUAUAAGAACCUGAUGCGAAAUAAGAACAAAGAAAGAAAAUGGUGUGCUUGAAAAGUAUAAUUCCCAAUGAAUUUAAAGUAACAAUGAUAUAUUAUUGCUCUUUUUUUUUUUUUUUGACGGAAGUUAGAAUUAUAAAUCUAAUCCCAGAAGAAACCUCAAAAGCCGGCAACUUUUGAGGUCCUUCCAGGGACUUAUAAACCCAACCCCAAACCCCCCCCCAAGAACCGAUGUGGGAUGACAACCCCAAAAGGACAAGUCAGUAGGCCCGCUGGUACUAAGAAGUGAUGACCCCCCACGAAACCCAGUAUUGCUCACCGUUACCCUGCUCGACACCUCAACAGUUCCAAGGAUUUGAGAGACUCUUAGCAAUUACAAGUGCUGAUUGGGAAGCUAAAAAGCUCGAAUGCUCGAUUAACCUUUUUUCCCCUCGUUCGAAUGCUCGAUUAACCUGCUCGAAGGCAUAAACACCACAAUCAAAUUAUUAUUUUUAAAAAAUUAAAAUUUUAAAACAUGAUUAAAUAAUUGAGACGCGACAUUACUUUGAAAAGUUUGCAGUAACUCUUGUUUGCACGAUGCCAGAUCCCGAUUUAUGACCUCUAAUAACUAGCCAUGUUGCAACUUGAAUGGAAUGGGCGUCACCAUUCACAUGAAAGUGACUAAGAUAUUAAGCACUGACUUAGCGGAAUAUUGGUUCAAGGAAUUACUGGUUUGUCGUUCUUAGUGUAAUUACACAUGUUUACAUCCUUGUAGCUGUGCUGUCUUGGUUUUCAGCAAGAUAAGAUACUUUCGGCCAUCACCAGGAACUUUCCAUUUAGAUUUUUUUUUUCCAAAAAAAAAAAUGAUUAGGCUUUUUCUUUGGUACACAUCUCAUCUUUCAAAAUUCUAAAAUAUCCCAUUACAACUUAUAAUUCCUUCCACUGAGUGCGCCUAAUUAGCCAUUGAGCCUUUGGUCCGGUGGCUAUUCCAAGCCUUUUUAAGCUUGGCACCACCAAGCCUUUUUAAGCUUGGCAGCGUAGAAAGCUAAGGAUUCAAAUCUUAUUUUUCACAAAAUUUAUCACAAUAUGUGAUAGUCUUCAUUGAUCAAUUUUGAUGAAAUUUUUACUCACAUCGAAUCUCCACCUCCUCCUCCUCCUCCUCCUAGAAUAGGUUAGGUUAUAAAAAAAUUCUAUCGCAUCGACCAAAAAAAAAAAAAAAAAAGAGUGCGGCACAUUACACUACUGCCCCAUCCCCAACGACCGACAGAAUGUUCACAGCAGCAGCCAUUAGAGGCACUAAGAGGAAAGCUAUGUCUUGGCUUGAUGAUUACAAUACAUUCAUAGGGAAUAUGUACAGCGUUAAAAACUCACAAUCCUCAGACCAUGGCACAAAAUCACACACACAUAUAUAUAUACAAGAAAAAAAGAAAAGAAAAGAAAAAGGAUGACAAGCUUAGCAAUAUCCCACUCCUAUUACUGAUCAGUGCCUCGAUUGUUUCAUAUUUGGGCACAGCAUCUCAUGAAAGAUGAUGAUGGACAGCUAAAUAAUAUUCAGCUGAAGGCCAGAGGCGGAGGCCUCAUGCCCCAACUCC
rnacentral:lncRNA from 1 species